rnacentral:lncRNA from 1 species
UAUUUCCACCUUUGCUUUUGAGUUACUACGAUUUACCUUAUGUGGCAAGACGAUGUUUCUUGUAUUGUGCCAUGUUUCCAAAAGACUACGAGAUGGGAAAAGACCAAUUGGUGAAGAUGUGGAUGGCUCAAGGUUACCUUAAGGAGACUCCAAGUAGAGAUAUGGAGCUUGUUGGAGAGGAGUAUUUUCAAGUCUUAGUAGCACGUUCUUUCUUCCAAGAUUUUCAGAUGGAUGAGCAUGAAGGUAUGACAUUCAAGAUCCAUGAUAUAGUGCAUGAUUUUGCCCAAUUUCUGACAAAAUAUGAAUGUCUAACAGUAGAUGUCAAUAACCUUGGAGAACAAAAAACGGAGACUACAUAUGAAAGGGUUCAUCAUUUAAGCAUGAAGCUGUCAGAGGAGACCUCUUUUCCCAUGUCUAUUCACAAAGCAAAAGGUCUUCGCAGCCUCUUGAUUGACAGUAGAGACCCUUCACUAGGAGCUGCACUAGCUGACGUAUUCAAGCAGUUGACAUGCAUCAGGUCAUUGAAUUUGGCAGAGGCUUCGAUCAAAGAAAUGCCAAACGAGGUAGGGAAAUUGAUACAUUUAAGACACCUCAAUUUGGUAAGUAGUGUAAAGUUGCAGUCCCUGCCAGAAACCAUGUGUAAUUUAUGCAAUCUGCAAUCCCUAAACGUGUCUGGGUGUUGGUCUCUCAAGGAAUUACCUCAUGCGAUUGGAAAGCUUACCAAGUUGAGGCAUCUGAAGAUUGUUUAUUCAAGUGUAGCAUUCAUACCAAAGGGAAUGGAGAGGAUAACUUGUCUUCGAACAUUAGAUCGUUUUACUGUCUUCGACUAGAAGUAAAGCAGCUAAUUUAGGAGAAUUAAAAAACUUAAAUCACAUUGGAGGGAGUCUCACGAUAUGUAAUCUGAGAGAUAUAGAAGAUGUGAGUGAAGCUGUGGAAGCACAACUCAAGAAUAAGAAGCGCUUGCUUCGUUUGGAAUUGCAAUUCGAUGGGGAGAAAACAGAGUUGCAAGCGAAUGAGGAUGCUUUAAUUGAAGCUUUACAGCCGCCGUCAGACUUGGAAAAUUUAAUCAUAUCUGAUUACGGAGGGAUAUUUUUACCCAAUUGGAUGAUGAUAUUAACCAGAUUACAGAACCUUGUGCUCGUAAAUUGUAGAAACCUCGAUGUUUUGCCACCGCUGGGAAGAUUGCCCAACCUCGAAAGCCUUUCUUUAACAAGGUUGAAGCUGAGAAGGUUGGAUGGUGGAUUUUUAGGCAUAGAAAAUGUUGGCAAUACCAAUAUUAAUGAAGGAGAAAUUGCAAGAGUCGCUGCUUUCCCCAAAUUGAAAAAACUUAGCAUAUGGCAUCUCAAAGAACUAGAGGAGUGGGAUGGGAUUGAAAGGAGAGUGGUAGAAGAAGAUUCCACCACGACUUCAAUAUUCAUCAUGCCACAACUUGUUGAGUUUAGAAUUCUCAAAUGCCCAUUGUUGAGAGCACUACCGGACUAUGUUUUGAUAGCGCCUCUACAGAAAUUCUCCAUAGAGUAUUGCCCCAAUCUAAGGAAACGUUACGAUAGGGAUAGGGAGGAGAUGGGUGAAGAUGGGCACAGGAUUUCUCACAUCCCAAACAUUCUAUUUAAAGAAUAGUUAAGAAAGCUAACGGUUAAAUUCUUGCUACCCUAAUUUAUUAGCGUAAUUCAAUUUCAUACAAAUUUUCAUUUUUAUUUUUACCAAUCCAUAUUCCAGUACCUUUGCAUGGACUAGAUCUGUGGGUUUUAUUUUUUAAAAAUUUAUGGUAUACUUGGAUCAUCUUCGCAUAUUUAGGCCAAGACUUUUUAGUAAGUCGCAUUGUAAUCAAGCUAUCCACACCCGAUUGAUGUAUUUAGGGCAAAAAAACAUUUGUUGCAAUAUUUUUUUAAAUUGAAUUCUAGAUGGUACACAAUGAGUCAGUGUAAUUUCAUCAACACAAACCCUCUAUGAUGGCUAAGUUCAGAUAUCUUCCUCAGCAGCAGCAAGAAUUUGAUAUGUGUUGAUAAAUCAGAGUAAUUGGCAUGUUUGUUCACAAUAUGAUACAAGUGUUGAUCAAUUAGCCAGGAAACAAGACUUUCUGGCUCUAGAGUGAGAGUAGACAUCAAGCUAUUGGAGAAAUUCCAAAAAUGAGAUGUCAACGACUCACUGAGAAUCUUUUCAAAGAGAACAUCUUGGUGAGCCUUUUCCAUCUUGUUGGUGAAGUAGCUGUUUUGUAGUUAGAAUUAAUCAAGGAAAAAUGAGGUAAAAAAAUCAUGCAUCGGCCAAACAAACAAAAAGAUAGUGCAAGUGAAGGAAAGAUUCUCUUGUCAAACUAUAAGAUGAACAUUGAGAAUCCAGAACCCAGUGCAUUUUGGGAAGAUGUGUUCCCUAGCAUUCAUCUUAAAUUUUUACCCUGACUAUUUUCUGCAAUUUACAACAAGAAAUUUAGCACCAAAUUCUCAAACACCAAACAAUAAGGAUUAUCCUUAUCUGCCCAAAUUGCAAACCAAAAACCUCAGUUUCAUUUGUCUCAAAGACAACAGUGAAAUAGACCUAGUUUCUAACCAGUAAAUAAUUUCUUCUACUUGAAGCCUCAAUUCACCUUGGCGAAAAUAAACAGUUGCCCGUGGUGGGAGAGAAACAUGAGAAGUUAAACAACAAGAAAUCCCUUGAUUGUGUUCUUCCCCUUCCUUUCGGGAAAGGGGUGUAUUUUUAGUACAACUAUACUCUGUUUAAAGCAAAAUAUAAACCGUAACAUGGGGACCAUGCUAUCACUUACUAUCUCAUAUGCUAGAAGAGUAGUAUAAAUAUUUAAAUUAUUGACAUAAAAUUAAUCAUACUUCUUAGUAAUUUAUAUAAUAUUUAUUAUUGUUGUAUGUAAUAAAACAUUAUUAUUUAUUGAGAUUGAUUUCUUGAUUUGAGCUGUUAUGUAUUUUUGAAUGGAUAGCUUCUUAUUUAAUUGAUUGUAUGAGUUGAGCCUUCAAGAAAUGAUUUUGUUUGUUUGAUUAUGACCCAAUGAUAUAUCAAUUAGAAUAUUCAUGUUAAUAAGAUAGUGUUAAUCUUUAUACACAUUGUAUUUAAUUCUUAGUUGAUCGGAGACGUCAUCAAUUUAUGUAGAUUGAUUAUCUCACAAUAUAGAGCACGUAUAUUUAUUAUAUUUUGAUUUUCUGAUGAGAUUUAUUUUAUCAUAUUUCUUGUUAUAGUAUAUUUAUGAAAUUCUCCGAUAAAGGCCUGAAGCUAAAUUCGUAUAUGUUUUUCAUUGUUGUCUGAAAAUUGGACCUCCAGCAGCUCCAGUUUUUUUCUCCAUCCAUUAAUGUGAGAACAUCUUGGUGAGCUUUUCCAUUCUCGUUUGCUGGUGCGGUACCGAGCUAGCUGUAGUGAAGGAAAGAUUCUCUUGUCAAACUCCGGAAUGAACACUGAGAAUCCAGUACACGGUGUAUUUUGGGAAGACGUGUUCAAUAGGAUUUAUCUUAAAUUUUACCAUAACUAUUUCACAACAAGAAAUCUAUCACCAAAUUCUUAAUCCCCAAACACCAAAUUAAGAUUAAUAUCAUUAUCCAAAGUGCAAAACAUCCAAUUUGAUAUUUGUUUUCAAUGCCUAAACUUCUUUGAGAAUAACCUCAAAUUAAUUUUCUCUUGCGCUCCACAGUAGAUCACUAUUCAUCCUUUUUUCAUUAAUUUCUCUCUUUUAUUUCGUUCAGAUGGUCUCUUCUAAAUAAUGGUGAUUUUUUUUGUUAUAUGUUUAAUUUUCAAAGAGGUUUUUUUUAUUUAUUUAUAAUUUUUUUUAUCUUUUGUAUAAAUGAACUAUAUUUUUGAAAAUAAAAAAUAUUUAUUUUUAGAUGAUAUUUCUAAGAUGUGUAGCCUUGCAUAUUAUUCCUGUUUUCUUUUUAUUUUAUUCAAUCAAUUUAAUAUGUUUGUCUAUUUUUAUUAUCGUUUAAUUAAAUUAGAAAAAAAUUUAAUAAAAAAUUUAGCAAACAUGAUCAGGUAAAUGUCUCAUCUUGCGAGAUUAAAUAUCUUGAUCUACAUUUAUCUCUCAGUUUUUUAAUUUUUAUUUUUAGGUGUCGUUAAUGAUUAUUUAUUUGUUUAUUAGCGCAGAUAAUUCUCAAUUUAUUUGAUUACAUGUGUGCAUAAAAUUUUUGAUUUGCACUUAAAUUUUUUAAAGUACAAAAAUGUAUUGAAAAAAUCUACAUAUAUAAAUUUUUUUAUAGAAAAUAAAAAUAUUUGACCUAAAGUGAAUCACAGUUCACAUAACUAGUAUGCACUAAAAGAGGAGAGGAUUUUACAAUAUCCCUCCUCACAAAAGUACUAUUCACUAUAAUAAUGUGUUUUUAAUCAAUGUUUUUUUUUUAAUUUCAUCCUUCAACUUUAACAUUGGAUUUUUUUUAUUGGGUUGUCCCAAUCUUAUGACCUAAGUUUUGAGUUUAACAGCUUAACCCGGUUGAUUUUGUUUUGUUUUCUUAAUUGGUUUUUUUUCUCAAUUUUAUCAUUUAAUAUUGGGUUUGAUUGAGAAUUAAGUUUCAUGCUUUGUUUUGAUUUGCUUUUUAUUAGGUUAUUCUGACCACAUGACCUGAGAAUAAUGUUUGGUAGGUUAACCUGAGUUGACUCGGGUUGUUUUUUUAUGUCAUUUCUUUAAUUUUUUUUUAAAAUUUCAUAAUUCAAUUAGGUCGGUUGGGAUUGGCAAGUUAACUAAGGCUAUUUUGAUUUUUUUUUUCAAUUUUAUUCUUUAACAUAGAGAAUUAAGCUUUAUAAUUUGUUUUGAUUUGUUUUUUAUGAAGUUGUCAUGGUCUUAUAACCUGGGUCACUAAUUUAAUAUGUUAACUCGGGUUAACCCAAGUCAAUUCAAUAUAUUAUUAUCUUAAUAUUAAAAAAAUAUAUCAUUUUAAUUUUUUUUAAUUAAACUAUUUUUUUAUUGGUUAUUCAGGUUAUUUUUAGAUCUGUUAAGUAAACUAUAUCACAUCAAGUUAAGCUCUAAAUUUUUUUUUUCACUAUAAAAAAAUAUUAGCAACAUUGAACAUUUUUAUUUACAUUAAAAAAGCACUGACAUUUACUAUUCACAAUACAUCAAAGCAACGGCUUUUUGAGUUUGGAGUGAGAGUAAAUGUCAGGGACUCAUUGAGAACUUUUCAAAGAGAGCAUCUUGGUGAGCUUUAUCGUUCUCGUUUGCUGGUGCGGUAAGGUAGCUGUUUUGCAGUUAAAAUUAAGGCAAAAAUGAGGCAAAAAAAAAUAUACAAUUGAUGGUGUUGGUGAUUUUGGCAAAAAAAAUCAAAAAGAUCUGAAAAAAAAGUUUGUAAAUUUUGAAAAAAAGAAGAUAAAAAAGAUCGUGCAAGUGAAAGUGAAGGAAAGAUUCUCUUGUCAAACUGUAAAAUGAACAUUGAGAAUCCAGUACACAGUGCAUUUUGAAUGUGUUCCCUAGGAUUUAUCUUAAAUUUUACCCUAACUAUUUUCUGCAAUUUAAUUACAACAAGAAACUUAUCCCCAAGAAUUAAACCCCAAACACUAAAGUUUAUCAUUAUCCAAAGAGUAAAAUUAACAAUAUACUAAAAGGCGUGGGGAAAGCACUGUAGCUUCCCCCACGCCUUUUAAUUAUACUUAUAUAUAAUAAUAAUAAUAAUUAUUAUUAUUAUAAUUAUUAUAUUAUAUUAUAAUAUUUGUUUUUUCAUUUUUUCAUUUUUUCUGUUUUUCUGUUUUUUUUUUGUUUUUUAUGCCUUUAUGAGUUUUUUUUUUGCUUUUUUCUUUGUUUUCAUUCCUUUUAUAAUUUUUUUUGUUUAAUUUAGUUUGUUAAUGGUAAAUUUUUUUUUUUAGUUAUCAGACUUUCAUGACAUGGAUCCCGAGUUUGAUGGGUUAACCUGGUUUGACGAGUUAACCCGAAAUUUUAUUUUUUUACUUUUUUUAUUUUUAAUUAAUUUUUUUUAUUUAGUUUAGUUUGUUAAUGUUAAAUUUCUUUCUAUUUAAUUAUCAAACUUUCAUGACACGUAUCCCAAGCUUGAUAGGUUAACCCAGCCGUCGAAUUUUUUUUCUAUUUAGUUAUCAAACUUUCAUGACGUGAAUCUAAGGUUUGACGGGUUAACUUGGUUUAAAGGGUUAACCAAGUUAAUUCAGAUUUUUUUUCUUUUUCUUCAUUAGUUUUUUUCUUCUUGUUGGUUUUUUUCUUUGCUUUUUUCUUUUUAAUUAAUCUUUUUAAUUAUCACACUUUUAUGACACAAUCUUGCAGCUAGACCCACAUCCAAGGCUCUUGGGUCCGAUGUUGCAAUCAGACUCACUUAAACUUGAGUCAUGUAAGUUUAAUAUUAUUAUAAAUAUUACUCUUGGGUCAAGCGUUGCAGCUAGACCAAAGACUCUUGGGUAUAUCUUUGCAGAAAGACAUAACACUCUUAGAUCUUAGCUUGUUUUGAUAUUUUUUAUGCAAGAAAAUAAAUAACCCGUGGCGUAUGCCUUUGUUUUGUUUUGUUUUUUUCCUUUUUUCUUUUUAAGCCUUUUACUGUAGACUGCACAGUGCAGUUCACAGUGAAAAAGCUGAUGCCUUUAGUUACUUUUUUUGUUUUUUUUUGUUUUUUUUUGUAAUUAUUCUUUUAAUUUAGUUUCUUAAUAUUAAAUUUUUCUGUUUAAUUAUUAGACUUUCAUGACACGGAUCUCAGGUUUGACGGGUUAAUCCAGUUGAUUCAGAUUGUUUUUCUUUUUCCUCAUUAGUUUUGUUCUUCCGAUUUCAUCUUUUAAUAUUGUAUGCAGUCCACGGUGAAAAUGUUGAUGCAUUUAGUUUUUUAUUUUUAUUUUUUUAUGCCUUUUACUGUGAACUGCACAGUACAGUCCACAGUAAAAAGGUUGAUGCCUUCUUUUUUUUUCUUUUUAAUUAACUUUUUUUAUUUAGUUUGUUGAUAUUAAUUUUUUUUUUAUUUAGUUAUCAGACUUUCAUGACACGGAUCUCAGGUUUGACAGGUUAACUCAGUUAAUUUAGAUUUUUUUUCUUUUUUUUCAUUAGUUUUUUUCUUCAUGUUGGUUUUUUUUCUUUAUUUUUUUCUUUUUAAUUAAUCUAUUUAAGUAUCACACUUUUAUGACACAACCUUGCAGCUAGACCCAUAUCCAAGACUAUUGGGUUUGGUAUUGCAGUCAGACCCACUUAAACUUGGGUCUUUCAAGUUUAAUAUUAUUAUAAAUAUUAUUCUUGGAUCAGGCGUUACAGUCAAAUCUAAGACUCUUGGAUAUAGUUUUGCAAAAAAACCUAAUAUUUUUAAAUCUUGGCUUUUUUUAAUAUUUUUUAUACAAAAAAAUUGACCGGCGGCAUCGCGCGGGUCAUGUAACUAGUAUACCAUAUUUUUUGUUGGACCAUUUCGGGUAUGACUUGAUUUAAGACUUUGAUUAUUGAAUUACUAGGUCAACCCACACAUUAUUAAAUUAAUCCGGUUAAAUUAAUUUAUCCUAAAUAAUAUUAUUUUGGUUUUUCUUUAAAAAAUGAGUUGACCUACUCUCAAUCUAAUCAAUCAUUAUUAAUAUUCAAAACAAUUUGAAAUAGAACUCAGUCUAGAUCAAGCUUCAGAUUACCAAGUCACCGGGCGUUUCACUUUUGGAACUCAAAAUGACAAGUCAUUUCCAUAUAAACAUACAAAUAGGAAAAUGAUUGAUGCAUUAUACUUGAAACUGUAGCAAAUUUGUCAACCUUUUUCCAACCACCAUGACUUUCUUCUUGUAGUAGUUGGUUGGCAUUUAUUAGGCUGCACAUGGGUUGCUGCCAAGACUCUUCUUUCUUGUAUAGACUGAGACAGAGAGACGAGAGAGUGCAAGUGAGUGCACUGUAGAGGAAGUGUGCAAGUGCAACUGUGAGAGUGAGAAAGUGCAGAUUUGAGAGAAACACCGAGUGUAAGAGUGAAACACUGGGUUUUGUGGGUUGUAUUGGGUUGAGUUGAGUGUUUGUAUCAUUCCUCCAAUAAUAUACAAUCUGCUGCAUUUGUGGACGUACCUGGUUUUGGGGAACCACAUAAAAUCUGCUUGUUUGUGUUUUAUUUGUGUUUGCUUUCGAUCCAGUAUGUACAACAAAUUGGUAUCAGAGCAUUAGGGAAGCUUAAACACAGAAAAACACCUUUUUCAGCUCUCUUUUAAAAGUUGCAGAAUUUUCAAAGUUCUCAUAUCUUGAUUUUGACCAGCUGCAGAGAUUCCUCCCGUCGAUACGAGUCUGGCGAUAUAAAGAUCAUCGAAAUCGAAGUUGAAACGAGCCCUGUAGAGCUCGUCGAAGUUUCGCCUGAAAUCUGCCGGAAAAACCAGACAUUGCCGGAAUUCUAGCAUGAGAAGACUGCCACGUCACCAAACACGUUGGCACUGAGUCAUCAUCCACGUCAUCAACAGGGCUCCAUAUCAGCCAUGUCAUCAGCCACGUCAUCUAAUAGUGACAGAAUAUUCUCUUGACAGAAUAAGAAUAUUCCGUUAACUGUAAGAGAAUAUUCCCUUGACUGUGACAGAAUAUUCCUUUCCUGAGUCAACUUGGUCAGAUUGGUUUUUUAGCCAACUUAGUGAUUUUUUGACCUGUUUUAGGCCGAGUCAAGUUGGUUCCUAGCAUUUUCAACCAUUCUGGACGCCACUGUGGUGUCCGUUUUGUGAAACAGCACACCGAAGUUACUGUUUUGGCUCUUUUGAGCAUAAAAGUGCGUGUUUUAACAAUUUCGGGAGUCCAUUUGUAAUCCAAAGAUGUUUUAAUGGCUGAUAUUCCAGAAGAAAAAUCAGCGGGGAAUGUUAGUAUACCUCCACAAUACAUUCCGGUAUCGAGUAUCAAAUUUAAGGUGGAGAAGUUUGAUGGGAAAGGUAAUUUUGGCAUGUGAAAAUGUGAAGUCAUGAAUAUGCUUGUCCAAAUGAAUUUGGAUUUCACUCUAGAAGAUAAACCAGAGGAUUUGGAUGAUAAAAGCUAGGAAAGGAUAAAUCGGUUGGCUUGUAGUUCCAUCCGACUUUGUCUUGUAAAGGAUAAGAAGUACGCCUUUUCAGAACAAAACUCUGCAAAGGAAUUAUGGCAAGCGCUGGAGGACAAGUUUAUGAAGAAGAGUAUAGAGAAUCGUCUCUACUUGAAGAAAAGGAUCUUCCGUUUUCAGCACAAGAAAGGUAGUUCCAUGAAUGAGCAUCUAAAUGAUUUCAAUAAAAUGAUAGCUGAUUUAAAGAAUUUAGAUGUGGAAAUCGAUGAUGAAGAUAAAGCUUUGUUGUUAUUGAAUUCACUGCCUGACACAUAUGAACAUCUCGUCACCACUUUACUGUAUGGUAAAGAAAAGAUUAAAUUCAUUGAUGUGUCCAAUGCUUUGGUGAACAAUGAGUACCGGAAGAAGGACCAGAUUGUUCACAAGGAGUCAACGUUAGAAGCAUUGACAGUUAGAGGCAGAACAAACCCCAGAAGAUUUCGAGGGCAAGGGAGAUCUCGCUCAAAAUCCAGAGGAGAAUCAUCAAACAGACGAUAUCUUGCAAAAGAUGAGUGUGCCUUUUGUCACAAAAAAGGGCACUGGAAGAAAGAUAGUCCAAUCAAGGGCAACAAGGAAAAAGAUGAACCAACUGUGAACAUUGCACGAGAUGAGGAUGAACAAGACUCUGCAUUCAUGGUCUCAUCACCAGAAAACCAUUCUGGUGAAUGGAUUCUUGAUUCUGCAUGUUCCUAUCACAUGUGCCCUAACAAGCACUUAUUCUCGAGACUCGAGGAGUUCGAUGGAGGAGUUGUGUUGAUGGGUAAUGAUGAUGUUUGUGAGAUCAAAGGGAUUGGGACUAUUCAUCUGAAGAUGCAUAAUGGGGUAGUCAAGACAUUAACAGAUGUACGGUAUGUACCUGACUUGAAGAAAAACCUCUUCUCACUUGGAGUCCUAGAAUCCAGUGGUUAUAAGAUUAUCAUGCAUGGUGGAGUCCUGAGAGCAAUCUGUGGUGCAUUAGUUGUCUUAAGAGGCACGAGGACAGGAAACUUAUAUUUCCUGGAUGGAUCUACAGUUACUGGUACAACAGCUGUUUCCAAAAGCAUAGAAGAUGAUGAAGCAGAUAAUUCCAGACUUUGGCACAUGCGUUUAGGGCAUGCUGGUGAAAAGGCUUUACAAGGAUUAGUCAAGCAAGGUCUAUUAAAAGGCGCCAAGACUGGGAAGCAUGGGUUCUGUGAGCAUUGUGUUCUUGGAAAACAGACAAGGGUCAAGUUUGGCACUGUGGUACACAACACAAAAGGGAUCCUAGAUUAUGUUCACACAGACGUAUGGGGACCUUCAAAGAAUGAAUCUCUUGGAGGUAAUCGUUGGUUUGUUACUUUUAUUGAUGAUUUCUCAAGACGAGUAUGGGUGUACAUGAUGAAACACAAGGAUGAGGUCCUUGAUAUCUUUCUGAAAUGGAAGAAAAUGGUGGAGACUCAAACUGGAAGGAGGGUUAAGACUCUUCGGUCAGAUAAUAGUGGUGAGUACACUUCAGAUCCUUUCUUUGAAGUUUGUCAGAAUGAAGGGAUCAAGCGACAUUUUACUAUUCGCAAAACACCACAACAGAAUGGAGUAGCAGAACGCAUGAACCGCACAUUGGUGGAGAAAGUCCGAUGUAUGCUAUCACAUUCGGGACUAAGCAAAGUGUUUUGGGGCGAGGCAUUAAGCUAUGCUCGUCAUAUUGUUAACCGGUUACCUUCAACAACAUUAGAUGGAAGAACCCCCUUAGAGGUAUGGUCAGGCUCUCCUGCAGAUUAUGACUAUAUGCAUAUAUUUGGUUGCUCAGCAUAUUAUCAUGUUACUGAGUCCAAGCUAGAUCCUAGAGCCAAGAAAGCUAUAUUUUUGGGCUUUAGUAGAGGAGUAAAAGGUUACAUACUCUGGUGUUCUGAAUCAAAGAAAGUGAUUUUGAGUAGAGAUGUCACUUUUGAUGAGUCUAGCAUGUUACAGCAAGAGAAAUCACAGGAGAAGGAAAAACAGUCUGGUGAUGCACAACAGGUAGAGUUGGAGACUUCAGUCAUUCCUAUACAGACUGUUCAGACAAUCCCUACUGAAGGAGAUUCAGAUGAAAGUUCAGAUGAAGAGGAUGCAACAACUCCAGCAACCACACAACAAGAAUCCAUUGCAACGAGUAAACCGAAAAGAGUUAUUAAGAAACUUGCUCGGUAUUGUAACAUGGUGACUUAUGCACUUCCAGUGAUUAAUGAUGGAAUCCCCUACACCUACAAAGAAGCAGUACAAAGUGUAGAAAGUGCAAAAUGGAAAGAGGCAAUGGAUGAAGAGAUGAAAUCUCUCCACAAUAAUCAGACUUGGGAUUUGGUACAACUCCCUAACGGAAAGAAGACAAUUAGUUGCAAGUGGGUAUAUGCCGAGAAGGAAGGUAAUCCUGGAAAAGACAACAUCCGAUUCAAAGCAAGAUUGGUAGCAAAAGGCUAUGCUCAGAAGGAGGGGAUAUAUUAUAAUGAGGUAUUCUCUCCAGUUGUUAAGCAUUCAUAAAUCCGUAUUCUGCUAGCCUUGGUUGCACAGUUUGAUUUGGAGUUAGCACAACUUGAUAUGAAAACUGCCUUCUUACAUGGAGAUUUGGAAGAGGAAAUUUACAUGUCUUAGCCAGAAUGUUUCAAAGUCACUAGGAAAAAGAAUUGGGCUUGUAAACUGAAGAAGUCAUUGUAUGGAUUGAAACAAUCUCCUCGCCAGUGGUAUAAGCAAUUUGAUAAGUUCAUGACAGAACAUGGAUACACACGGAGUCAGUUUGAUCACUGUGUAUAUUUUCGCAAACUUCUUGAUGGUUCUUUUAUCUAUUUGCUCUUAUAUGUGGAUGAUAUGUUGAUCGCAUCGAAGAGAAAGGUGGAGAUUGAUAGAUUGAAAGCUCAACUAAGAACUGAGUUUGAAAUGAAGGACCUUGGAGAAGCUAAGAAGAUUCUUGGCAUGGAGAUUCAGAGAGAUAGAAGAAAAGGCAUAGUCUGUUUGACACAGACCCAAUAUUUGAAGAAAAUUAUACAGAGAUUUGGGGUAGAUGGUAAGACCAAGCCUGUAAGCACACCUUUAGGUCCUCAUUUUAAGCUAAGUGCUUCAAUGUCUCCACGCACAGAGGAAGAGCGCAAACAUAUGGCUCAAAUUCCUUAUGCAAAUACAGUUGGUGCAUUAAUGUAUGCAAUGGUUUGUACGAGACCAAAUAUUUCACAUGUUGUCAGUAUGGUGAGCAGGUAUAUGCAUGAUCCGGGAAAGGGUCACUGGCAGGCAGUUAAGUGGAUUCUACGGUACAUUCAUGGCACAACUGAUAUUGGUUUAAAGUUUGAGAGGGAUGAUAGACUCGGACAAAAUUUAGUUGGUUAUGUGGACUCGGACUAUGCUGGUGACUUAGACAAGCGUCGUUCCACAACAGGCUAUGUGUUUACACUUGCUAAAGGGCCUGUAAGUUGGAGGUCAACAUUACAAUCAACAGUAGUUUUGUCAACAACUAAGGCAGAGUACAUGGCAGUAACAGAAGCUUUCAAGGAAGCUAUUUGGUUACAUGGGUUGAUUGAAGAUUUGGGAAUUGUUCAAGAGCACGUGGAUGUCCAUUGUGAUAGUCAAAGUGCUAUUUGUCUUGCAAAGAAUCAGGUUCAUCAUUCCCGCACCAAGCACAUUGAUGUUCGAUUUCAUUUUGUUCGAGAAAUUGUGGAUGAAGGGGAUAUUCUGCUACAGAAGAUUGGUACCGCAGAUAAUCCAGUUGACAUGCUCACAAAAUGUGUCUCAGGGAUCAAGUUCCAACAUUGUUUGGACUUGAUCAACAUCUCUCAGUGUUAAACACCUUCAGGGUGCAGCGCCAUAUGGCGCAUUAGAGGCAGCAUUGAUUGAUCACGAGGAUUGGAUGGAAAAAUCUUGCCAAGGUGGAGAUUUGUAGCAAAUUUGUCAACCUUUUUCCAACCACCAUGACUUUCUUCUUGUAGUAGUUGGUUGGCAUUUAUUAGGCUGCACAUGGGUUGCUGCUAAGACUCUUCUUUCUUGUAUAGACUAAGACAGAGAGACGAGAGAGUGCAAGUGAGUGCACUGUAGAGGAAGUGUGCAAGUGCAACUGUGAGAGUGAGAAAGUGCAUAUUUGAGAGAAACACCGAGUGUAAGAGUGAUACACUGGGUUUUGUGGGUUGUAUUGGGUUGAGUUGAGUUGAGUGUUUGUAUCAUUCCUCCAAUAAUAUACAAUCUGCUGCCUCCGUGGACGUACCCGGUUUUGGGAAACCACAUAAAAUCUGCUUGUUUGUGUUUUAUUUGUGUUUGCUUUCGAUCCAGUACGCACAACAGAACCCACAGUGAAGCAAUGGCUAAUUCUAGACUUGCCUUUGCCUUUUCCUUUUCCUUUUCCUUUUUACACAUAUUUUCUCAUUGUUUCAGGGACAUUCUUUGCUUGCAUCAACCUUGUAGGAAAUUAGUUGUUUUAUACUGAAGUUCAGAAUCAUAGUCUAACCCCAGUCUUAAGCAAAUUAUCUUAAUUCGCAGUAUAUAUUGCCUAAACUUCAUUGAGAAUCACUAUUCUUCCUAUCAAUAAUCCCCCAUUGCUUUGUCUCUCCUUUUUCUUGACACAUUCAGUAGUAAGAACAACAAUGGCUGGCGCACUUGUAUCCCCAAUUUUGGAGCAGUUAACCACGAUCGUUGCUCAACAGGUACUUUUUUUUUCUUUUUUUAUAAUCAACAGGUACUUAAUUACUUUUCUACAAUUUUGCAAUUAACCUAACAUUUAUAGUUCAUUAUACAUUGAUUUCAUUAUCUUAUAGAAUAUCUGUUAAUUUGUCAGAAGCUAAAUCAGUAGCUUGAUUUAUAUAUUAUCACAUUGCAUGUUAUCAAAUAAAAUACACACACAGACACACAAGAUAGCGGGUUCUUACGAUUCUCUUUCUUUUUCUUUAUAUCUUUUGUGCUAUACAAAAUAUGGUUAUUGUGAUGGCUGGUUAGAACAAAUCAAUAUAGUAAAAUAGUAGUAAAUUCCUUUUUCAAUAAUUCCUUAUCAUAUUUGAAUGCAUAAAUCACUAUAUUUGUAAUAAAAUUAUUAUGAUAAAAUGAUUAAAAUAAAUAUAGUCAAAUAUUCGAUUAAUUACAAACAUGAUUAUAGAAAUUCUAAUAUUUCUUUUUUAUUUUGAUAUCAACCUCACAGAAUUUUUUUAAAAAUAGACUAUGAUAAUUAUUAAAAGUCACCUAAUAAUAUUGUGAAAUUGCAAUGUAUUGCGCUCCACAAUUAUAUGAUUAUUAUAAUAUCUAUGAAUUCUAUCUUUUAUCUAAAGAAAUCCUUUAUUCAAAUAAAAUAUAUUUUAAUUCACGCAUCUAGUAAAUUUUAGUACAAUAAUUGUGCAUUAGCAUUACAUUAUUUACGAGUCAUUUUAUUUUAGAGAGUUUAUUAUAUAUAAUUUGAAUAUAAUUAACAAUAUAAAUAUAUUAAUUGCAACUGAGAAAAAGUUUAAUAAAAAUGAUUUACUCUAUUAAUUGCUAAAAAUUAAGAAUUUGUAUUGAAAUCAUAUAAAUGUUUCCUAUGCCUAACGUUUCUUUUCCUCUGUACACUAAUAGGUACAAGAAGAGUUGAACCUAGUAGUGGGUGUGAAGAAACAAUGUGACAAGCUGAAAAGCAAUCUCCUUGAUAUCCAAUCUGUCCUUGAAGAUGCAGAUAGAAAACAAGUGAAGGAUAAGGCUGUAAGAGAUUGGCUAGACAAGCUCAAAGAUGCAUGUUAUGAUAUGGAUGACGUGCUAGAUGAAUGGAGCACUGCAAUUCUUAGAUGGAAAAUGGAGGAAGCUGAAGAAAAUACUCGCAGUCGACAGAAGAUGCGAUGUUCCUUCCUGAAAUCUCCUUGCUUUUGUCUCAAUCAAGUGGUUCAACGUCGCGACAUUGCCCUCAAGAUCAAAGAAGUUAGUGAAAAAGUGAAUGACAUUGCCAAAGAGAGAGCAAUGUUUCGCUUUGAGUUGUACAGAGCCACUGAUGAACUCCAGCGACUAACAACUACCUCCUUUGUUGAUGAAUCAAGCGUGAUUGGUCGAGAUGGUGAAAAGAGAAAUGUUGUAAGCAAGUUGCUGGCUGAAAGUAGUCAAGAAGCACGGGACGUGGAUGUCAUCUCCCUAGUAGGGCUGGGAGGAAUUGGAAAAACAACUCUCGCCCAACUAGCUUUUAAUGAUGCUGAGGUUACGGCUCAUUUUGAGAAAAAGAUAUGGGUGUGUGUUUCAGAUCCAUUUGAUGAGGUUAAGAUAGCCAAAGCUAUCCUUGAGGAGCUUCAAGGGAGGGCAUCCGAUUUGGUAGGAUUGCAAUCCCUUUUGCGAAGGGUUUCUGAAUCCAUUAAGGGAAAGAGGUUCCUUCUUGUCCUUGAUGAUGUCUGGACAGAAAAUCAUGGACAAUGGGAACAACUGAAACCUGUUGGGAUAUUGCCAUUUAUUGGCAAUACCCCACCACUAAUUGUAGCUUAGUGGAAGCAUCACUAAUGCCACAAUUAGUGGCAUGAUUUCGGGACCUAUUGUCCCCUUGCUAUUGCUGGAGAAGGUUGCCAAGAAUUGCCUAUAAAAGAGGCAUGUUUUGUGAGAGUGUGUGUGAGAGAGUGAGAGGGUGUGAGAACGUGAAGAGAAGAAGAGAAAGAGGAGCUGCUGCCAUGGGCAGCAGCCCUGCUGCCAUAUGCAGUAGGGUGUGUGAGCUGGGAGUUGAGUGAUCCUCCUCCAUGUAUUUAUUGUAUCCUUUCUCUAUCUCUAAAUAAUAUGGACUCUCUCCCGUGAAUGUAGGCGGUUUUGCCGAACCACGUAAAAUAUUGUGUCAGUGUGCUUUAGCCUCCGUUGAGCAACUAUCAGUACACCCCCGGUCCGCGCAUGGGGGAGCCGGAAAUUCCCCAACAAUUGGUAUCAGAGCACAUGGUUUAAAGGGGUGUUUGAUUUUGCUCAAAAAUGAAAGUUGUCAAACUUGUGUUUUGACCAUACCACUGUCUAGAGGAGGAAGAGACGAAGCCACUGGUGAAAACGGCGUCAAAAUCAGACGUCGGACAUGACCGCACUCUCCAUCACUCUCCGGCAGGGCGUCUGCCCACGCGCGCCGACGCGCCCCACGUGUCUUCUUCGCCCGGAUGAGUUGACCCGACCCGAAUACCAGUUGACCCGACCCAUGUGACUGACCCGGAUAUUGAUGACAUCAGCAUGACGCAAACGUGACAUCAGCGUGAAUAGUAGACAUGCCAGGGAUGACAUCAGCCUGAUGUAAUGGUGACAUCAUCACGCACAGUAGGCAUGACAUGUCAUCAGCCACGUCAUCGACCAGUCAGCAGACACGUCAGCAUAGUGGGUCCCACCUGCCACAUCAUCAACCGCGAGCCGAGCUGAGCCGCGUCGAGUAGAGCCGAGCCGAGCCCAAAAGGAGCCGAGCCGAGCAGCGAGCCAAGGGAUAAGAUUCUGUGCAGCGGAGUCUACGUGCAACCGGAUCUGAGAUUGAAUCUGGGCCGUUCAUCAGGCCAAAAUUGUUUUGAUCAAAUCUUAGCCGUCUGAAAUGCGAUUUGGACGAUUUCAGACUUAUUUCCAGCUAAUUUGAUCGUUCCGGAUGCAAUGGUACGGUCCGAUCGUUGAGAUUUGAGACCAAAAAUGGCGGUGGUUAAUUAACAAAAGAGAUUGCCCGAUCAGGAGGCAUCUGAAGGUCAUCAUGGUGGUCGAUGGAGAUGAAGAAGAACAUGUCACACAUGUUUACCCAAUUACAUGUGCUGAACUGCUAAGUGGAGAGAAAUUUAACUGCCUUGAGGGAAGGCAAUAUUGGGACACUCUGUACACCCGAUCAUGUGGAAAAUUUGAGGUGAAGAGUGGAAAUUGAUGAAGACCAAUCUUGACGAGUCUAAGAACUGGUAGUCUCGCCAGAUGUUGAGAAAUCAUGUAUUAAACCAGUAUAUUCCAGAUCACUUGCAAAUGAAAGCCGCAACAAAGCUAGCAAAUGGUUGUAUAUACGGAAAGACAGUACGAUGGAUAGAUAUGGCCUAAGAAGUUCUGUCUAGGAGAUUGGGUUUUAAGCGGGACCAGUGUGACCCCUCCAAUCUUUCCUGGGAACUUGCUUAGUGGAAGGAUUAUCCAUACGGUACUAUUUUCAUAUAUAUAGCAGUUUGUAAUGAAACGGUUGAAGACUAGCAGGAUGACGGCACAAGGGAACAUUUGGGUUCCGUAUGAUCAAGGAUCUGAUGAAGUGGUGAUUUCUCCAAAGAAGUUAGAUUCGGUGACUGUGAUUUCUCGAUGGGAGAAUUGAUGAAGACCCUGAUAAUGGAAGAGGAAUACAGCAAGGGGAUAAAGAUUGGCACCCUAUUUUGACUUGGACAGGUGUUAUGACAGGAUGAGCUGCUGUCAAACAUAAGCAAGGAAUAGGGGAAACAUCUGGAGAACAGAAAUUGCACGAGGGCACACGGAGAUUAUGCAGAGUACCCGUAGGAUCCAAUGAGGUACUGUAAUGAGACAACAAGUGCAAGGAGAAGAAGUGUUCCCAGAUGAAGCUCAGAGCAGAGACUGUUAAAGUUUGUACAACAAGAAGUCUCUUAUGCUCUUGAUGAAGACAACAGGCGAAGACCUUUCCAAUGCAUGCAAGGAUGGAAAGAGAGUUGUUGCAGAGGCACCUAAUUGAGGGGGUGCAAAUGCCUGUGAUACAAGGCAACCGCCUAUGAUGAAAGGCGAAGACACCAAAGAGAGUUGGUGUAGGUGGAGCUGUCAAGCAGAAAGGCACAGAAGCUCCAAACAUAUAAAUUGAGGUGGAGGAUUGCGAGAAGUAUACCGCAACUUUCUCUUUCUAUGUAGUCAGUGGCAGUAAUCUCUCCCAUAGUGCACAUGGUGGUAGAGAAUUUUGGAGCCACUUUAAAGCAUCUCAGCUGAAGGAGGAUGCGACCGCCCCAUGACAACGGGCGAAGACACCUUAGAUGGAAGGUGUGUGAGGGCCAUGAUAGGAGCCCGGAUAAGACCGCCCCAUGACAACGGGCGAAGACACCUUAGAGAAGGUGUGAGGGCUUUGAUAGAAGCCCCAGUUCAGACCGCCGUAUGGUGACGAGCGGAGACACCUAAGGAGAAGGUGUGUGGGCCACGAUAUGAGCCCAGUUCAGAACACUCAGAGCCAAUGUGAUGGCUAGAUAUGAGUGGACAGGUGUAUAGCCAAUGAAGUGGCUAUGAUGAGUAUGGAGACAAAUGCAGGAUUGACUUUCAUGGAUAUUGCCCCCAUGCUAAAGAUCAAUGAGCUAGAAGACAUUUGCCUUGGACAAUAAGUGUGUGACUUGUGGAGCAUUAAGACGCGGCUGCUAUGAAGAAGCAGAAGGGCAUGCGCAGGUUCCGAGAACGAGUUGACUCUUGUCAAGGUGGUGAGCUCGGAAAGCAUUGUAAUACUCAGAGUAUGAAGAUAGAUAUGGAUCAACCUUUAUGGGCUGCCCCCAUGGUUAAAGGUGGAGAGCUACCUGGACUCUUACGACUAAGAGCGAGAGACUCACGGAGAAGUAAGGCGUGGUUCCUAGGGUGGAACAGAGGGCAGGCGCAACUCCUGGAUGAGUAGACUCUUGGAAGAGUGGUGAGCUUGUGAUCACAUUGAAAUACUCAAUGACUGUCGCACUUGGGAAUAUUCGUUUGAGGGGGUGUUGUAAGCCUUGGUGUAAGGCUUGAAAAAUCAUUCCGGACCGAGCAUGGUUGAUACGCUCGAAGGGGAAUGUUGUGUUGAAGACGCUCUCAAAAUGGAAGCUUGGAAGAACUGCAGAAUGCAAGCUUGUGCUGAAGAAGCAAGAAAACAAUUGCCCACACAAAUGGCAAAGGGGGUGAUUGUUGGGAUAUUGCCAUUUAUUGGCAAUACCCCACCACUAAUUGUAGCUUAGUGGAAGCAUCACUAAUGCCACAAUUAGUGGCAUGAUUUCGGGACCUAUUGUCCCCUUGCUAUUGCUGGAGAAGGUUGCCAAGAAUUGCCUAUAAAAGAGGCAUGUUUUGUGAGAGUGUGUGUGAGAGAGUGAGAGGGUGUGAGAACGUGAAGAGAAGAAGAGAAAGAGGAGCUGCUGCCAUGGGCAGCAGCCCUGCUGCCAUAUGCAGUAGGGUGUGUGAGCUGGGAGUUGAGUGAUCCUCCUCCAUGUAUUUAUUGUAUCCUUUCUCUAUCUCUAAAUAAUAUGGACUCUCUCCCGUGGAUGUAGGCGGUUUUGCCGAACCACGUAAAAUAUUGUGUCAGUGUGCUUUAGCCUCCGUUGAGCAACUAUCAGUACACCCCCGGUCCGCGCAUGGGGGAGCCGGAAAUUCCCCAACAAAACCAUCUCUCACAGGCUGUGCACGAGGAAGCAGAAUUCUAGUGACCACUCGUAAGGACGUUGUGGCAACAAUGAUGGGAACUGACCACCGGAUCAACAUUGAGAAAUUGUCCGAUGAGAUAUGCAGGUCAAUAUUCAAUCAUGUGGCAUUCCAGGAAAGAAGCGAAGAUGAGCGCGAAAGAUUGACAGAUAUGGGCGAUAAAAUUGCAAACAAGUGCAAGGGCUUGCCUCUAGCUGCCAAGGUAUUAGGAGGUCUUAUGCAGUCUAAAAGAAAACGAGAAGAAUGGGAACGUGUUUUAUCUAGCGAACUGUGGAGGCUAGAUGAGGUUGAUAGAGAUCAGGUUGAAAGACGAAUAUUUAUACCUUUGCUUUUGAGUUACUAUGAUUUACCUUAUGUGGUAAGACGAUGUUUCUUGUAUUGUGCCAUGUUUCCAAAAGACUUCGAGAUGGUCAAAGAUGAAUUGGUGAAGAUGUGGAUGGCUCAAGGUUACCUCAAGGAGAAUUCAGGUGGAGAUAUGGAGCUUGUAGGAGAGCAUUACUUUCAAGUCUUAGCAACGCGCUCUUUCUUCCAAGAUUUUAAGACGGGUCGGUUUGAAGGAAUGAAAUUCAAGAUGCAUGAUAUAGUGCAUGAUUUUGCCCAAUAUAUGACAAAAAAUGAAUGUCUAACAGUGGAUGUCAAUACACUUGGAGAAGCAACAGUGGAGACUUCAAUUGAAAGGGUUCGUCAUUUAAGCAUGAUGCUGUCACAGGAGACUUCAUUUCCCGGGUCCAUUCAGAAAGCAAAAGGUCUUCGCAGCCUCUUGAUCAACACUAGAGACCCUUCGUUUGGAGCUGCACUACCUGAUUUAUUCAAGCAGUUGACAUGCAUCAGGUCAUUGAAUUUGUCAAGGUCUUCAAUCAAAGAAAUACCAAAUGAGGUAGGGAAAUUGAUACAUUUGAGACACCUCAAUCUGGCAGAUUGUGGAGAGCUGGAGUCCCUGCCAGAAACCAUGGGUGAUUUAUGCAAUUUGCAAUCCCUAGACGUUACUUGGUGUCGUUCUCUCAAGGAAUUGCCUAAUGCGAUCGUAAAACUUAUCAAAUUGAGGCAUCUCCGGGUUGUUCUUUCAGGUGUGGCCUUCAUACCAAAGGGAAUAGAGAGGAUAACAUGUCUUCGAACAUUAGAUUUGUUUAUUGUGUGUGGUGGUGGUGGGAAUGAAAGUAAAGCAGCUAAUCUAAGAGAAUUGAAAAACUUAAAUGACAUUGGAGGGAGUCUUGAGAUAUGGAAUCUAGGAGGAGGUAAAGAAGAUGCGAGUGACGCUGCAGAAGCACAACUCAAGAAUAAGAAGCGCCUGCUUCGUUUGCGAUUGGAUUUCAUCGCAGAGAAAACAGAGUUGCAAGCAAAUGAAGGCUCUUUAAUUGAAGCUUUACGGCCUCCGUCAGACUUGGAAGAUCUAACCAUAUAUGGGUACGGAGGGUUGGAUUUGCCAAAUUGGAUGAUGACAUUAACCAGAUUACAGGCGCUUAAACUGUAUGAUUGUACAAAGCUGGAGGUCUUGCCUCCGUUGGGAAGAUUGCCCAACCUUGAAAGACUGGUAUUGAGGUCGUUGAAGGUGAGAAGGCUGGAUGCUGGAUUUUUAGGUAUAGAAAAAGAUGAGAAUGCCAGUAUUAACGAAGGAGAAAUUGCAAGGGUCACUGCUUUCCCCAAAUUAAAAAUACUUGAGAUUUGGAAUAUCAAAGAGUGGGAUGGAAUUGAAAGGAGAUCAGUGGGAGAAGAAGAUGCCACCACAACUUCAAUAUCCAUUAUGCCACAACUUCGACAGUUGACAAUUCAUAAUUGCCCGUUGUUGAGAGCACUACCAGACUAUGUUUUGGCAGCGCCUCUACAGGAAUUGUAUAUAGGUGGCUGCCCCAAUCUAGGUGAAGAUUGGCAAAAGAUUUCUCACCGAAACAUUUAUUUUUUUGAUAAAUAGGUGAGAAAGACAGAACUCUUUAGUCUUUAGAACCAGCAGGAACAGCCGAACAGGUAAAUUCUUCUACCAGUGUUAAUUCCUAACGGUAAAAGAUUUGGUUCUGAGUGUAUUAAUUAUUUGCUUUGGUGUUAAUUCUUACCAUUUACUCUAUGUGACCUCUUUACUUACCAACUGAAUAUUAAUUUAUGACCUCUUUACUGUAAUUCGAUUUUAUUUCCUACUUACCAUUCACUCUAUCAAAUGCAGCUGUGAUAUUAUCUCGCUCACGUGAAGCUUAUUCCUUACUUAAAUUCUCCAAAUGCCACUCUAAAAAAACUGCCUUUGAAAUUUCAGACCAUAUUUUAGAUUUUUUCCUUGAUAAUUUUGGAUUUUAGUUUUAUUAUUUUUAUUAAUUGUUUUCUUGUUAUUUACGGAUAUUUAGGGUAUUUAAACCUAUCUUUUCAUAUUUUAGGAUACUUUUGCUAAUAAUAUAUAUUUUUUAUUUUUUAAAAAUUAUUUUUGAUAUCAACGUAUUAAAAUAAUUUAAAAACACUAAAAAAUAUUAAUUUGAAGUAAAGAAAAAAAUAAAAUAAAAAUAAAUUUUUUUAAAAGCGCUUUUAAAAAUAAAAAAUAAACCGGGCUUAAUAAGUAUUAAAAAUAUUAUUAUUUGUUUUAUUAAUAUUAUUUUUUAGUCUAAUUAAUAGUAUUAAUCUCAAAAAUAUUGUUAUUUUUGGUGCUAUAAAUAAUAUUAUGUUUAUAUUAAUUAAUAAUAUUAAUACUAAAAAUGUUAUCAGUUAUAUUAUAAAUAUUAUUAUUUUUAUUAAAAUUUAUAAGAGUAUAUUUUAUUGUAAUUAAUACUAUUAAUAAAAUAAUUGAUGAAUUUUAAAGAAAAUGUUAUAUCAUUUAUUAAUUUUAUCAAAUGUAUUGUAAUAAUAAUUUUAUGAAAUUAUACUUAAUUUUAUAUUUAAUUUCAUUUAGAAGUGCUCCGGUGGUCUUUGCUGAUUUCCUCUGUAAUUUAGAUCUGAAUUUCAAUUCCCUGAUUCCAUAACCUUGGCCCGUAUUCUAAUAGCCAAACAACUCUCUUCCUAUGUUCCUGCAUCAGCAUGUCGACUCCUCACUCUCUGAUUCCUGAAUCUUGAAAACACUCUUCCUUCGUUUUUGCUCUCAGAGCAGUAAGGCCUUUUGGAGUAUCUUUUCCAGUCGCUGGUUUUGAUUACAAAGGUCCACAGCUGUAUCAUUAACUGUUUCCUCGUAAUAUUGUCUGAAUGCAUUAACUGUUUUUUUUUCUUUUAAUAUCUGGAUUAUCCACUGCAGACCAUGAAUCACAAAUUGACAAGAAAAUGUGUUUCAACUAAGACCUACCAAUGCUAAUCGCUGCUUGGGAUCAAAACCCAAUUGAGGCCAAAUUGAGUGGGUAGAUCUGGUUUUUAAUCCAAAUGAUUCUUCAUAAAUUAUUGUAGUUGUCUUGCAUUAUAUUUCUAGCUAAGAAAACAAAGAAGUGCCUUAAAUUCUGAAAAAUUAGAAAAAGACAAUAAAAAAAAGGUUCAAAUCACGUUAAGAAAGGAAUGAGAAGAAGAAGAAGAAGAAGAAAGGAAGGUGAUGUGGUCCAGACAAUACGAAUACUUUCCUCCAGAAAAUCUCGCUCAUUUCUUGUCCUUUACACACCCGUUUGCUCCCCUUCACAAACCAGCAAUCCUUCCAAACUUUUUUCCAUGACCAGCACAUGCUACUGAUAUCAGAUAAACAUUAAAUGAAGAGAAGAAAUAGAGAACCAGAUGAGAAGCAGGAAUUUCAGUAGAAUGCCAUUCAGUAGAAUGCCAUAAUCAAUUUCAGGAAUUUCAGUAGAAUGCCAUUCAGUAGAAUGCCAUAAUCAAUUUCAGGAAUUUCAGUAGAAUGCCAUUCAGUAGAAUGCCAUAAUCAAUUUCAGGAAUUUCAGUAGAAUGCGAUAAUCUCUCAGUAGAAUUCUCCAGACCAAUCGUGUUAUUAAGUGAAGAUCAUGAAUUCAAAACUAUGAUAUUAGAAUCAAUAUAGAUAGCACCUGAGCAACCCAACAAGAAAAAAAAAAAACAAGAGACAAGUUACCAAAACAUAGAUUUCUAAAAAUAAGAAAUGGCGCGAUUGAAUCACUACAUUACAUAGUAUAACGAUGAUCAUCAGGAAUAUAAAAUAAAAAUUCUUCUCAACUCGAGCGAAGAGGGUAUUAACUAAUACAUGGUUUCUAGUUCAAGAGCCAGCAUCAAAAUUACUAGAUUAUGAGAUUUAUUUUAAACACCUCAGUGUGAUAGUACAGUGUCCUAUAUGAGAUUCACACACGAACCAGCAAGAUGUCGUGUCAUUCUAGUCAUACAUGUGAUUGACAUGCCAGAAGGGGGAGAUAUUUUCAAGAAGCGAGCUAAUUACUUGUAGAGAGCAGCAAGGUGAACCGGUUCAAUGUAGUGAAAACAUGUCUUUCACCGCUGAAACCAAACCGGAGUGAAAAUAUGGGUUUUCUACAUAGCCUUAUCACCUCUAGUCAACCACGGGUCUCGCAGCAAAGGAUACGGGUUCAAAAAAACAAAAUCACUAUUUAUGAAGCCAAUCACCCCACCCUUCUCUUAAAGAUUACAACUUUUUACUUAUCUUUAACAACAAAGCAUCUUCAAUAAUCUUAACCUCACUAAGUUUUCUGUAAAUUUCCUCAUCAACAAGAAUAUCAUCACUGCCAAACUUAUAAUCCUCCACAUUCAAUCCUCAACUAAAACCAUCGUAAUAAUAAUAAUAAUAAUAAUAAAAACAUCCUAAUAUCCUAUCAAUUUCUUAUUCAAAUACCUUAUAAUGGACCUGGUUACAUGAUCCACGUAAUACCCAGAAGUAAAAAUCGAGGGACUUUUCGUUUCUUAUUCUUCGAUGUUUUUUUUUGUCUUUCAUUUUCGUGAUCUUCUUCUUCUUCUUCUUGUUCUCUAAUGGUGUCUUCUUCAUCGAUCUUCGACGCUGAAAUUUAAGGUAUGUUUAACGCGGUGUAAAUCGAGUUUCUAAAAAUUUUGAGUUUUUUUUUAUUUAAAAUAAAUUUUAUUUUAUAUGUUUUCAUAUCGUUUUGAUGUGCUGGUAUCAAAAAUAUUUUUAAAAAAAUAAAAAUAAAAUUAUUAUUUUUUUGUUCAACCUCAAUUUCAACCAUGAAAAUUGUAAUUCUUGUCGGAUGAAUAAAUUAUUUUUUGUUCAACCUCAAUUUCAACCACAGUUUUAACCAAACAUAUAUAAAUAUCAAACUAACCUCAACUAAAUAGACACCGGAUGACUAUCACACCCUUGUUAUGGUAUCUGAUUCAGCGAAAAGGAGGGUAUUACGGUAAUUGGAACAACUUGAAUCGAGAAUCUGAACCGCUGUAUUCAUCCGCAAAGAUGCACACGCUAUUGAUAACUCGGCCAACUAAGUCGAUUACUCAAUGUAAUUAAGUAUUGCCUUAUUUUGAAUCACCAGCUAGCAACAAGUCUUCAAGCUUUGAAAUGACUGGUGGCGUACCACUAUUCCAAUGGUAAGGAAUAGAAAUCUCUUCAAAGUCACCAAGGAACUCUUUUUUUAGACAAUAGUGGAGAUUUUAUUAAAAUUUUUGGCUAAAAUGAGAAUAGCCUAAUAACAAAAAAAAAAAAAAAAGGAGCAACAACAGAGAAGAUAAAAUAAAGAAGACAUAAAACCACGGUAUCCACUCUAUAACAGGAAGAAGAAAACAGGGACCAGACAAUAGAUAAAAACAAGAAGUCAACUUCUGUUAUCCCCGAAAAAGAUCCCAUCAGAGUUGAUCCCUGAAUCCAAACCGGUGUAAGCAAAAGUUGUGCUAUCAAACUUCAACCAUAAAGAGGACCUGUGGACGAUCAAGUAAAAAUAACCUUGAAGAUCUGGAGUCACAUCAUUGAAGAUUAUAUCAUUAUGAUGUUGCUAUAGAGCAAUAGAUCCAAGAGAUGGAAACUGGAUAUUACAAUGUGUCGAAUUUUAGUCCUUUUAUAUAUGAUAUGGUGCUUCACUUCAGCGUCCACGGUUUGUCCCAGGUACAGCUCUUUUUUCAGGUUUUGUAUUUGUUAGACUGGAUGUUUUAAUGUUCAGUGUUAAGGUUUUGUGCGGAUGUAGGGUGCUUCUCAUGCUAAAACUUGCUUUACAAGUAGUGUUUGAGGCUUUUCAUUGUGUUAACAUCGAAUCUCGGAUUGGAUUUUGAGUUAAUUGCUAGGCUGAAAUCCUUUUAGUCUUUUGCUUGUGGCGUAAAUAUAUGUAUCAUGUCCAUAGGAUGCGAACUUGAAAAGUUUCCAUUUGGUAUUUCGCAAUUGCAUAAGCAUAUGUGAAGCUAGCUCAUUCCACAUCGCCGAGCCAAGUUUUUUACUGAUUCCACUAUGAUGUCUAGGAAAUGUUAUGACACGUACGUCAAAAACAAUAUGCAUUAAUUUUGUUGCUGGUAGAGAGUGCCAUAUGCAAUAUUUUCUGUCUCUUAUUGGAGCCUUUUUAUGAAAAUUGUGUUAAUUCAACAAUUCUCAUUACAUACCCCGACCUGAUUUUUUUUGUUAAAGAAUUCUUUUACCUUUUUGAGAGUGAUUUUGGUUUGUCUGGUUGCUGAUUGCAGGUAAACAUGGAUGGAAGUUCUCUUGACUUCAACUUACUGGAAAUGCAACCUUUGAGCAAUCUGAAAUGGUUUGAUUACUGCUUCAGAGAAGUACUUCCUGGAAGAGUUGGAAGGACCUUGGAUGAAGUUGGGUCUAUUCUUCGGACUGUGCAAGAAGAUCAGAGUGUUCUGCUUGUGAAUAUAUUUGGGGCAUCAGAUACAAUCACGAGGAACAUGCUUUGCCACUUUGAGAGGCUAAAUAUAAGGAACUAUAUAUUGAUUAGACCUGGGUCUGAUUUUCUAUUUGAUCUUGCUAGAAGAGGGCAUCCUGUGAUUGAUGCUGACCAGUUUUUCAAUCAUCAUAGAGCACAGAAAGUAAUGGGAUUUCAACAUUCCAGUGCGGAGCUGAUGAAGAACAUUUUAGUGAAUGCUUACGUAAUUAAGAAGUGUUUAGAAAAUGGGUAUGAUUCUUUGAUAGUGAAUCAUGGUCUUUGCUGAUUUCCUCUCUAAUUUAGAUCUGAAUUUUAAUCCCCAGAUUCCAUAACCUUGGCCCGUAUUCUAAAAGCCAACAACUCUCUUUCUAUAUUCCUGCAUCAGCAUGGCAACUCUUCACUCUCUGAUUCCUGAAUCUUGAAAACACUCUUCCUUUUUUUUUCCUCUCAGAGGAGUAAGGCCUUUUGGAGUAUCUUUUCUAGUCGCUGGUUUUGAUUACAAAGGUCCACAGCUGUACCAGGCAUCUUUGUUUCCUCGUAACAUUGUCUGAAUUCAUUAACUGUUUUUUUUUCUUUUAAUAUUUGGAUUAUCCACUGCAGACCAUUGAUUUUAGAUGCUUUACUGGCUAGGGUCACAAAUUGACAUGAAAAUGUGUUUCAACUAAGUCCUACCAAUGUUGAGAGUUGAGAAUUCAUAAUUGCCCGUUGUUGAGAGAUGCUUUGGGCAGGAGUUUCCUGGUGCAAAGAAUAUGGAAACCGGUGAAAAAGAGAUGCUUUGGGCCCAAUGCCAUGGAUUACAAGUGUGCUAAUAUACACGAUCUUUCUAUCAUUUCUUCCCCUGCCUCUUGCUUUUGACAUCUAGAAACGCAGGAUGGGGCUUGAGUGAAGAAAAAGCACGAGAAUCUGAUAGGCAAGGGCAGCAAGGUGUUGAACGAGUGGCCUGCUUGAUACCUUGCUUGUUGGAUGCAUAGCUGCUUAAUUAUGUGUAUAAAACAGGGAAAUAAAAGGUAUCAUCACCCUUCCAAUUUUAGUGGUAUUUGAAAAGAAUUAUUUUAAAUUACAAAGCCAAUAAUGGGAUGAUAUUAUACCCGUUGAUAUGGGCCAAUAUUUUCAUACCAAAACAGAUGAUUCAGUACAGUUAUUUGCCAAUAAUCCCUCCUCUGUUUGUUUUUUCUAUGUGUUUGUUGCAAUCCCUUACUGUUUUUUGUUGAUUUGUUAUCAACGUUACUUAGUUUUACAAAUCUCAUGCUGAACACUUUGAAUUGCAGGUUGAACACGCGGAGCUUAUAAGAAUCAAUAUGGAAUAUGACAGAGUCUAAGUUCUUAGGGUUUUUUUUCCUUCAUCUCCCCACCCUCCUCUUCAUGGAGUAGGACAGUACCCUUUGUUAAAUAAUAUUUAUGUAGUCUUAUUUAUUAAGGGUAGAAUAAUACUUUCAGUUUAACCUAUAUAUACUUUGUUUGUAUUUAGGUUAAGACUAAGCACUCAUAAUAUAUAUAUUAUUCAGAAUUCUAGCCUCCUUUUCGUGUUUGAGCUUAAUUAUUUUAACAUGGUAUCAGAGCUGGUUUUAUGGAACGAGGCUUAAUCCCGAACACAGCUUCGCUUAGUUAUUUUUUGGACUGAGAUUUUGUCUUCCGCUUCUGCAAAAUUUGAUAUUUCGUCAGUUUCUGCAAUUAUUUUGGUAUUUCGUCUUCCCUUCAGCUUCUGCAAUUUGGUAUUUGCGUUCAGUUUCUGCAAAUUUGUUCUGUGUUUUGGAGUAAUCGUAUAAUUUUGAGAAGAUAUUUGUUUAGUUUCUGCAAUCUCUGUUCAGUUUCUGCAAUUUGGUAUUUUGUUUUCCGCUGCUUUUGCAUUCUGGUUCUCUGUGAUUGUUGAUUAUGGCUACUGAACGAGAUGAUUCGCUUCAGUCUGUGAGUGUGAGGUUGGAUGGGAAGAACUAUUCGUAUUGGUGCUAUGUAAUGAGAAAUUUUCUUAAGGGUAAGAAGAUGUGGGGAUAUGUCAGUGGAGCUUAUGUGGUACCUAAGAAUACUGAAGAAGGAGAUACUGCUUCGAUAGAUGCAUGGGAAGCAAACAAUGCAAAGAUCAUUACUUGGAUCAACAAUUCUGUUGAGCAUUCUAUAGGUACACAGUUGCAAAGUAUGAGACAACAAAGGAGGUUUGGGAUCAUCUGCAAAGGUUAUUCACACAAUCAAAUUUUGCAAAACAGUAUCAGUUAGAGAAUGACAUACGAGCUCUUCACCAGAAGAAUUUGAGUAUUCAGGAGUUCUAUUCUGCCAUGACAGAUCUUUGGGAUCAAUUAGCUCUUACAGAAUCGGCAGAAUUAAAAGCAUGUGGUGCUUAUAUUGAACGUAGAGAGCAGCAACGAUUGAUACAGUUUUUAACAGCACUUCGCAAUGAUUUUGAAGGACUUAGAGGUUCAAUUCUGCAUCGUUCUCCACUGCCUUCUGUUGACUCUGUUGUCAGUGAGUUAUUGGCUGAAGAAAUACGUCUUCAGUCUUAUUCUGAAAAGGGAAUUCUUUCUGCUUCAAAUCCUUCUGUACUAGCAGUACCUUCUAAGCCAUUCUCUAAUCAUCAGAAUAAGCCUUACACAAGGGUUGGCUUCGAUGAGUGCAGUUUCUGUAAGCAGAAAGGUCAUUGGAAGGCUCAGUGUCCUAAGUUGAGACAGCAGAAUCAAGCUUGGAAGUCUGGCAGUCAGUCACAAUCUAAUGUUCAUCGACCACCUCAGGGUUAUAAACCACCACACCACAAUACUGCAGCAGUAGCUUCACCAGGCUCUAUUACCGAUCCUAAUACUUUGGCUGACCAAUUUCAGAAGUUUCUCUCCUUGCAGCCACAAGCAAUGUCCGCUUCUUCCAUAGGUCUGUUGCCUCAUAGUUCCUCAGGUAUGUCACACUCUGAAUGGGUCCUGGAUUCUGGUGCUUCCCAUCAUAUGUCUCCAGAUUCCUCAUAUUUUACCUCUGUGUCCCCUUUGUCCUCCAUUCCUGUUAUGACUGCUGAUGGCACUCCUAUGCCCUUAGCAGGUGUUGGUUCUGUUGUCACACCUCACUUGUCUCUCCCUAAUGUUUAUCUUAUUCCAAAACUCAAAUUGAAUCUUGCGUCUGUUGGUCAAAUAUGUGAUUCUGGUGAUUAUUUAGUCAUGUUUUCUGGUUCUUUUUGUUGUGUACAGGAUCUGCAGUCUCAGAAGCUGAUUGGGACAGGCCGUAGGGAGAAUGGACUAUAUAUUUUGGAUGAGUUAAAAGUGCCAGUUGCUGCUGCUGCCGCUGCUACUACUACUAUUGAUUUGUCUUCCUUUCGUUUGAGUCUUUCAUCUUCUAGUUUUUAUUUAUGGCAUUCCCGUCUAGGUCAUGUUUCGUCUUCUCGUUUGAGAUUUUUGGCAUCCACAGGAGCUUUAGGAAAUUUGAAAACUUGUGACAUUUUAGAUUGUAGUGGAUGUAAACUGGCAAAAUUUUCUGCUUUACCUUUUAAUCGAAGUAUUUCUGUUUCAUCUUCACCAUUUGAUUUGAUUCAUUCUGAUGUAUGGGGACCUUCUCCUGUUGCCACAAAAGGAGGGUCUCGAUAUUAUGUCUCUUUUAUUGAUGAUCAUACUCGUUAUUGUUGGGUUUAUUUAAUGAAACAUCGUUCUGAAUUCUUUGAGAUAUAUGCAGCUUUUCGAGCUCUUAUCAAAACUCAACAUUCUGCUGUGAUCAAAUGUUUUAGGUGUGAUUUGGGUGGGGAAUACACCUCUAAUAAAUUUUGUCAAAUGCUUGCCUUAGAUGGAACCAUCCACCAAACUUCAUGUACAGAUGCUCCUGAGCAAAAUGGUGUUGCUGAAAGAAAACAUAGGCACAUUGUCGAAACUGCUCGUUCUCUCUUGUUGUCUACUUUUGUUCCUAGUGAGUUUUGGGGAGAAGCUGUUCUUACUGCUGUAAGUUUGAUUAAUACAAUUCCAUCUUCUCAUAGUUCGGGUCUAUCUCCUUUUGAAAAGUUAUAUGGGUAUGUCCCUGAUUAUUCCUCAUUUAGAGUCUUUGGUUGUACUUGUUUCGUUCUUCGUCCUCAUGUAGAACGCAGUAAGUUAUCCUCUCGAUCCGCUAUUUGUGUCUUUCUAGGUUAUGGUGAAGGUAAAAAGGGGUAUCGUUGUUUUGAUCCAAUAACUCAGAAACUUUAUGUGUCUCGUCAUGUUGUCUUCCUUGAGCAUAUACCUUUCUUUUCUAUUCCAUCCACUACUCAUAGCCUGACAAAAUCUGAUCUUAUUCAUAUAGAUCCUUUUUCUGAGGAUUCUGGUAAUGAUACCUCUCCCUAUGUUCGAUCAAUUUGUACUCAUAACUCUGCAGGUACUGGUACUUUACUCUCUGGCACACCUGAAGCUCCAUUCUCAUCUACAGCCCCUCAAGCUUCAUCUGAGAUUGUGGAUCCACCUCCACGUCAGUCCAUCCGCAUUCGUAAGUCCAUAAAACUACCAGAUUUUGCUUAUUCUUGUUAUUCUUCAUCAUUUACUUCCUUUUUAGCUUCUAUUCAUUGUCUCUUUGAGCCCUCUUCCUAUAAAGAGGCAAUUCUUGAUCCGCUUUGGCAGCAAGCUAUGGAUGAGGAACUUUCUGCUUUGCAUAAGACAGAUACUUGGGAUCUGGUUCCUCUACCUCCUGGUAAGAGUGUUGUUGGUUGUCGUUGGGUGUAUAAGAUCAAGACUAAUUCUGAUGGGUCUAUUGAGCGAUACAAAGCUAGGCUGGUUGCAAAAGGAUACUUUCAACAGUAUGGUAUGGACUAUGAGGAGACAUUUGCCCCGGUUGCAAAAAUGACUACUAUUCGUACUCUUAUUGUCGUAGCUUCGAUUCGUCAGUGGCAUAUUUAUCAGCUUGAUGUUAAAAAUGCCUUCUUGAAUGGAGAUCUUCAAGAAGAAGUUUAUAUGGCACCCCCUCCUGGUAUUUCACAUGACUCUGGAUAUGUUUGUAAGCUUAAGAAAGCAUUAUAUGGUCUCAAACAAGCACCCCGUGCUUGGUUUGAGAAAUUCUCUAUUGUGAUCUCGUCUCUUGGCUUUGUUUCUAGCAGUCAUGAUUCUGCUCUUUUUAUUAAGUGCACUGAUGCAAGUCGUAUCAUUCUGUCUUUAUAUGUUGAUGACAUGAUUAUUACUGGUGAUGAUAUUGAUGGUAUUUCAGUUUUGAAGACAGAGUUGGCUAGACGGUUUGAAAUGAAGGAUUUGGGUUAUCUUCGAUAUUUCCUGGGUAUUGAGGUAGCAUACUCACCUAGAGGUUACCUUCUUUCUCAGUCGAAAUAUGUUGCAGAUAUUCUUGAGCGGGCUAGACUUACUGAUAACAAGACUGUAGAUACUCCUAUUGAGGUUAACGCAAGGUACUCUUCUUCUGAUGGUUUACCUUUGAUAGACCCUACUUUAUACCGCACUAUUGUUGGGAGUUUGGUAUAUCUCACCAUUACUCGUCCAGAUAUUGCAUAUGCUGUUCAUGUUGUUAGUCAGUUUGUUGCUUCUUCUACUACUGUUCACUGGGCAGCUGUUCUUCGUAUUUUGCGAUAUCUUCGGGGUACAGUUUUUCAGAGUCUUUUACUUUCAUCCACCUCAUCAUUGGAGUUGCGUGCAUACUCUGAUGCUGAUCAUGGUAGUGAUCCCACAGAUCGCAAGUCUGUUACCGGGUUCUGUAUCUUUUUAGGUGAUUCUCUUAUUUCUUGGAAGAGCAAGAAACAAUCUAUUGUUUCUCAAUCAUCCACCGAAGCAGAAUAUCGUGCCAUGACAUCUACUACCAAAGAGAUUGUUUGGUUACGUUGGUUACUUGCUGAUAUGGGAGUUUCCUUUUCUCAUCCUACUCCUAUGUAUUGUGACAACCAGAGUUCUAUUCAGAUUGCUCAUAACUCGGUUUUUCAUGAGCGCACUAAGCACAUUGAGAUCGAUUGUCAUCUUACUCGUCAUCAUCUCAAACAUGGCACCAUUGCUUUGCCUUUUGUUCCUUCUUCCUUGCAGAUUUCUUUACCAAGGCGCAUUCCAUCUCUCGUUUUCGUUUUCUGGUUGGCAAACUCUCGAUGCUUGUAGCUGCCGCAUCGUGAGUUUGAGGGGAGAUGUUAAAUAAUAUUUAUGUAGUCUUAUUUAUUAAGGGUAGAAUAAUACUUUCAGUUUAACCUAUAUAUACUUUGUUUGUAUUUAGGUUAAGACUAAGCACUCAUAAUAUAUAUAUUAUUCAGAAUUCUAGCCUCUUUUUCGUGUUUGAGCUUAAUUAUUUUAACACCCUUCAUUUCUGAUUUAGUCAUUUCCCUGGUUGAAUACGUGGCUCCCCCAACAUUAUUUUUUCCAAGAAAUACGGAGAAUUUGGUUACAUAAUCAAUUGGAAAACUCUUUAGAUAGCACCUAACGGAGUAUUAUGGAAUGUUUAUUAUGUAUAUUUAUAUUUAUCUUGUAUUUACCUUAUAUAGGAUUCUGAUCAUGUGUUACAUGUUUAGUGUUGUGUACACCCCCCCCCGAUCAUGUGUUACAUGUUUAGUGUUGUGUACAACCCCCCCCCUCUCUCUCUCUCUCUAUAUAUAUAUAUAUAUAUAUAUAUAUAUAUAUAUAUAUAUAUCACAUAAGGGGGAGUGCUACAGACAAUGAUCUACAACCUCCAGAAUAUAUUCCAAAACUCUCUCUCUUAAACUUCAACUUGGUAUCAGAGCAUUAUACUUUCAACAUGACUUUUAUCUUCAAUCGGCGUUUCUCUCCUCUCCUCACGGAUCCUACCGCAUCUCAAUCCGCAAACACGCUAUCUACAUCUCUUCCUGCUAAUUCUUCAAUUAUGCAAUCUGCGUUAGGUUUUUCAAUGGCACCUCUGCCUGGAUUUUUCAAUGGCACCAUAUUUGUUGGGUCAGGGUGUGUCUGUCUUUGUUGACGGGUCCUAUUCUUGUCCUACACUCUAUAUUGCUACCAACGAUACAACAGCUCCUGUUAUUAAUCCAUCCUUUCUUUCAUGGAAGCAACAAGACCAAUUAAUUAUGAGUGCUCUCCUCUCCUCUUUAUCUAUUGAAAUUCUACAUCUUGUGGUUGAUUGUGACACAUCUCAUAGCAUCUGGCAGACACUUGAAAAAUCCUUUGCCUCACCAUCCCCUUCAAGGAUUAUGCAAUUACAUGGGUCGUUUCAGGAUUUACAUCAAGGCGAUGACUCAGUUAGUGUUUAUCUACAGCGAGCUAAGGUCUUAUUCGAUGAGUUGGCUGCUGCUAAUCGGCCUCUUUCCCUAGAGGACUUUAAUCUUUAUGUGUCUCAGGGCUUACGCAGUGAUUUCAAAAACUUAGUGACCAGUUUGUCUACACGGGCAGACCCUUUGUUAUACUCUGAUCUUCACAGUCACUUGCUCACUCAUGAAUACCUCAAUAAGAGCUCCCUUCAAUCCACUAUUGGCUCUCCUAUGACAACACCUCUACUGCCCACACCUUCAAAUCCCACGGCUUCAGCAUUAUUAGCCCAGCGGAGUGGUUUCGGUGGUUCUUCUAGUCACUCCUAUCGUGGGCGUGGACGUCAUCGAGGUGGAUGAAGAGGCUACCAUGGUGGAAACAAUGGCCCGCCUGGAUCUGGUUGGCAGCAGACAUCUGGGUCUGGUUUUUAGCAGGGUUCCCAUGAGUCUAGGACUGGUUGGCAGCAGCAUUCUCGUGGGUUUUCCAACUCUAACAACAACUUUCAAAAUGUCAAUUGUGUUAUGGCUUUGGGCAUUCAGCCAAGUAUUAUUCCCAAUUCACCUCACAUAAUUUACAAGCUACCGCUAACUUAGCAUUUCAGAAUCCUCAGCUCUCUUCUGCAAGUUGGUUUCCAAAUACGGGUGCUAAUCAAUAUGUGACAUCGGACCUUGCCAGUAUGACGAGUUCAGAGCCCUAUCCUGGCAGUGAUCAAUUACAUGUUGGUGAUGGCAAGGGACUUGUUAUAUCACAUAUUGCCCACUCUAAACUUUAUACUCCCAAAUGCACUUUUAUUCUAUCGAAUGUUCUACAUGUCCCAAAUAUUAAAAAAACCUCUAUUGUCUGUUCAAAAAUUUUGCAUUGAGAAUAACGUAUUUUUUGAAUUUCAUUCAUCUAUGUUUUAUGUUAAGGAUUUGAUAACCAAGGAGGUGCUCCUUUCCAGUCAGAGUAGCGAUGGUUUAUAUGUCUUAUCCGAGUCUUCUGCAACGUCCGUACCUCAAGCUUUCCUGUCUACGUCUGUGUCCUCCACUGCUAAUGUUUGGCAUCGUCAUCUUGGGCAUCCUAGCUCUUGUAUUUUAGGUUCUUUAGUAUCAAAUAAUAAAGUUUCAUGUACUUCUAGAGUUUUUAAUUUUAAUUGUUUAGGAAAAUCAUCACGUUUUUCGUUAGGCCUUACUGGUCAUAAAACUUGCGCUCCUCUUGAGCUUGUUUCCAGUGAUGUUUGGGGACCUUCUCCUAUGCUAUCUAAUGAUGGUUAUUGUUAUUUUGUGAUUUUUAUGGAUAUAUCUGGUUCUUUCCUUCAGCAGCUAAAUCUGAUGUGUUUAACAUUUUUCAUCAGUUUCAAGUUCUUGUUGAAUGCCAAUUCGCCACCAAAAUUAAGUCAGUUCAAACAGAUUGGGGUGGUGAAUAUAGGAAGUUAAACAUAUAUUUUAAAACCAUUCAUUACCGUCUAAUUUGUCCUCACACACAUGAACAAAAUGAUAUGGUUAAGCGUCGUCAUCGUCAUAUUGUUGAAACUGGCCUUACGCUUCUUGGUUAAUGUAAGGCUCCGUUAAAAUUUUGAAGUUAUGCUUUUGAAAUGGUUGUCUAUCUCAUAAAUCGUAUGCCUACUGCUGUUUUAAAUAGUUGUACCCCUUUUGAAAGUUUGUUUAAAUCUCCUCCUGAUUACAGUUUUCUUCGUAUUUUUGGGUAUCUAUGCUUUCCAUUGCUUCGUCCCUAUAAUCGACAUAAACUAGAUUUCCGUUCUACCCCAUGUGUGUUUCUUGGCUAUAGUUCCUCUCAUUUGGGUUAUCGUUGCCUUGAUUUGUUGUCCUCUUGUAUGUAUAUUGCACGUCAUGUUAAAUUUAAUGAAAAUACAUUUUCCUUUGCAUGUUCUGAACAGACAACACCCUUGCCUUCUCCAUCUUUACAAACAACACUCCCAGCCUUAACUCUUUUUCCUACACCUAUGACUUCUCCAUCUGCCUUAUCUCCGCCCCUUUCUCCAACGCCUGACCCCAGGGUUGUUGCCUCCCCUUCACCUCAUACCGUGAGUAACAAUCCCUAUGCUCCAUCUCCACUUUAUUAUGUUUCUAACGAUCACUCUCCAAGUAUGCUCUCUGUUUCUCCAGGUAUGGCGAUUCCAUUGUCAGCGAUCUCUUCUCAUAUUGUGUCUUUAUCUCGACCUCAUAGCAAUCCCACCUCGGGUCCUUCCUCUGGCUCUUCUCCUAGCUUGAAUUUGGUAGAUUUUGAUCUUCAGCAGGUUCCUCAUAAUCCAUCAAUUCUGCCAGCUGACUCCUCUCGCAGCCACCACUUGACACUUCGUCCUCGCCACCCAAAACAGGCGCAUUUUAGUGUGUCUCAGUCCUCUGCUCCUGUGUGUCCUGCUUCUCCUGAGUAUGAACCCCUCAUGUUCAAAGACGCUUCUCGACAUUCGGCAUGGCAGCAAGCCAUGCAAGAUGAAAUUUGAGCCUUGCACUCUAAUGGUACGUGGACUCUAGUUCCUUAUUGUUCCUCUAUGAAUGUUGUUGGUAGUCGUUGGGUCUAUAAAAUCAAGCAGCGAGCGGAUGGUAGUGUUGAUAGGUAUAAAGCUCAUUUUUUUGCCAGAGGGUUCACUCAACAAGAAAAAAUAGACUACCUUGAGACUUUCAGUCCGGUUGUUAAGCCUGCAACUGUGCGGUUAGUACUUACUAUUGUUGUGACUCGCUGGUGGUUUAUUCAUCAACUUGAUGUUCACAAUGCCUUCUUGAAUGAGAUUCUUCAAGAAGAGGUGUAUAUGGAGCAACCACCUGGUUUCUCUCAUCCAACUCUAUCAUCUCAUGUUUGUCGCCUUCAUAAGUCUAUCUAUGGUUUAAAAUAGGCUCCCCGGGCGUGGUAUACCAGACUUAGUGAUUAUCUCAUUUCUCUUGGUUUUCGUGCCUCUAAUGCUGAUACUUCUCUGUUUAUUUACUCUGCUGGCCAUGAUCUCAUUUACUUGCUUGUGUAUGUGGAUGACCUUCUGCUUACUGGGAACAAUUCAACUUUGCUAUGCCACUUGAUUACCUUACUGAAUUCAGAGUUCAAAAUUAGGGAUUUAGGCUUUGUGCAUUAUUUCUUGGGGAUUGAAGUCACCAAGACUGCCAUAGGACUUAUGCUCUCACAUCAUAAAUAUACUCCUGAUAUCAUUCAGCGAGCUGGUAUGUCUUUGUGUAAAGCUGUCGACACGCCUGCUUCAUCCUCGUCUAAGCUAUUGCUGACUUCGGAUACUCGGUACUCUGAUCCUACUCGUUACCGAUAGAUUGUUGGUGCUUUGCAGUAUCUCACUUUUACUCGUCCAGAUAUUUGUUAUGCUGUUAGUAAAGUCUGUCAGUUUAUGCACUCGCCUACCGAUGGCCAUUGGUCUCUUGUCAAAAGAAUUGUCCGGUAUCUCUUGUCAAAGGAAUUGUCCGGUAUCUCCAAGGUACGACAUCUUAUGGUCUGCACAUCACUCGGGGUUCUUCUCUUUCCUUACAUGGUUUUACAGAUGUUGACUGAGCUGGUAGUCUUGAUGAUAGAAAAUCCACCGGUGGCUACUUGAUAUAUCUCGACCGAACACCUAUUUCUUGGAAGUCUGCAAAACAACGAGCAGUGGCUUGUUCAUUGACUAAAGCAGAAUAUAAGGUUCUUGCGGAUGGUACUGCUGAGAUCUUAUGAAUUCGGGCUUUGUUGUCAGAUCUUCAUUUUUCUCCUGAUUCUAUGACUAUCCUUUGGUGUGAUAAUUUGGUUGCUACCUACUUGUCUGUCAAUCUUAUCUUUCAUGCUCGCACUAAGCAUGUUGAAGUCGAUUAUCACUUUGUUCGUGAUCGAGUUGCUAAAAAGGAAAUUGAGGUUCGGUUCAUCUCCUCGCAGGAUCAACUUGCUGAUGUUCUUACCAAACCUCUUCCUCACGCAUCCUUCACUUAUUUUCGGUCCAAGCUUUAUGUGGAAUUUCCUCCUUCAGCUUGAGGGGGCGUAUUAUGAAAUGUUUAUAAUUAUGUAUAUUUAUAUUUAUCUUGUAUUUACCUUAUAUAAGAUUCUGAUCAUGUGUAGUACACUACAUGUUUAGUAUUGUGUACAACCUUAUAUCUAUAUAUCUAUCACAUGAGGGGAGUGCUACAGACAAUGAUCUACAGCCUCCAGAAUAUAUUCCAAAACUCUUUCUCUUAACUUCAACUCGAAGCGUUUUUAUCAUGUUUGUAAGUGUUUUUUCAAAGUGCUUUGAAGUGUAAAAACAUCAAAUGUGAUUUUAGAUUAUUUUGAUAUGAUAAAACCGAAAACAUAAAAAAAAUAAAACUGAAAAUGCAUUAAUUUCUUGAUAUAUUUAUAGUCUAAAUACACUGGGUUGAAAUCAUGCCUGCUCAUAAUCGGAACUUCAAUGGAACUCGUAGGUCAAUGUUCUUUACUGGUCUGGUUAUGGACUUGACUUUGACAUGGAGUGCAUGUACCCUGUUGCUGUUUCAACACAAAAAGAAGAAGAGGGGGGCAAAUAUGUAGUUAACCACAGUCGUUGCUCAACAGGUAAUUACUUUUAUACAAUUUGCAAUAUAAAACCUCAGUUUUUCUUCACAUGAAGAAGAAAUAUAAAAAUGAAGUCUCUUUUUCUUCCUUUAUAAGAAAAAUAAAAUAAAAUAUCAAAUCCUCAGAUCUAGAUUUGAAUUUUAUUAAAGAAAUUUCUUUUUAUUGUUUUAUUAUUUUUCAUAUUUCCGGAAAUAAUCUAAAACAAAUAUUCUUAAUUAGAAGGAAAAAGAAGGAGUUGUCGAUCCUCUCAUUAAACUGUAAAAUAAUCAAUCAAAUGUUAAAAUAAUUAGUGAGUGUUUUAAAGGAAGAAUAUUUUUCGCUUAAAAACUAUAGUUCACAUAAUCUUAUUAUAAUGGAUUUAUUUCCAAAUAGACUUUACAAAUACAGAUACUUUUAUUCACUUGCCUUUUGUUCUCUAUAUUUCUUUGAUCCACCAAGCUUAUGUUAUAUAUAUAUAGGUUUGACGUCGAACAAUUGAAGAUUCAUUUUCUAUUGCAUUAGUGAUGGUGUGAUGCUAAAAUUAACAUUAUAUUUUACUAUCAUUGCACUACAAAAAACAGAAAACAAUAUGUAAUGACUCUUCAAAAUAUAUUUAAAGAUACUUUUUAGUGUUGCUAAAUAUUUUCAACCCACAACAUAAUUAUCACAAAUGAUCACUAUAUAUAGUGUUAUAAGUUGAUGCAACGACACCCAACCCCCUAAAAAAAUUUAAACAUCCAGUUUAAUAAUUUGAUGAAUUAAAAAAUUAAGGAUCUAAUUUAAUAAUUUCAUCCAAUUUGAUAAUGAGAAAUUCUAAUUGGUUAUUAGAAAUUUUAAUUGGUUUCAGAGAUUAGACACGGAAAGUGAAAAGGAGAGAAUGAUUUAUUACUUUCAAAUUAUAUGCAAUCUUUUUUGUUAUGAAAAGGAGGUUUGAAUUCAAGAUUUUCUAGGAAAGAAAAAUACUCAUUGAAGAUAGUUCAAUGCAGAUGAUAAAACUUGGAAUAUCAAACCCAUGUCAGUUUUUAUACAGUUGAUAAAUAAACCUGCAGGUCCUCGAAGAACCUGCUUUCAAGCCUCGUUAAUAUCACAUUUCUUAGCCCGCAAGAACCCUAAUUCCCGCAAAAACCCUGCUUUCAAGUUUUUCAAUUGCAUGAGCUGCUUUUAUUUCCUCUGUCAUUCCUAUUUUCUUUGAUUCUCAUUUAAUCCUCUAAUGGUCAUCAAAUCUUUCUCAUUACUUCAGGUUUACACGUCACAUCAAUUUCAUUUUUCUACCAUCAAGGGUUGUGCUCUCGCUUUACCACAACCCUACAAAAACUAACAAAGAAAAAUGUUGAGACACUAAAAUACAAGCUUCGCUAAUAAAAAAACUACAAGUUGAAAAAACUCCACCUGCAACACCAAACCCUAAGUAUAUAAACUAACUUCCAUUCACAAUCAGCCGCCUCCUUCCCCUCACCCUCUCUUUCUCUCUGGUCAUCCUAUCAUCAUUGCUUCUCUCUCUCUGUUUCCAAUCAGAACUAAUUAAACAUACGAUGGCUGAGGCACUUGUAUCUCCGAUCUUGGAGCAGUUAACCACGAUCGUUGCUCAACAGGUAUUUUUCUGCCAUCUGCAAUAACCUGAUUUACCUAGCAGAGAUAAGAAAUGUAAAGGUCAAGCCUUUUUUCUUCCUAUCAUAAAAAAGAAUACUUUUAACUUGAAAAAAUAAAAAUAAUAUUUUAAAUCCUCAAAUAUAUAUUGGGAUUUUAUUAAAGAAUCUUCUUUUUCUUGUUCUAUUAUUUUUCACAAUUCCAAAAUAACCUAAAAGAAAAUAUGUCAUUGCUAAUAUAAGAAAACCGAAAAAGGCAAAACAAGAGUACUUGCCAAUUCUCUUUAAACUGAACUAUUAAGGGUAAAAUAAUCAAUAAAAAGUUCAAAGGACUAGCGAGUGAGUAUUUGGUGCGAAUUAAAACUAUAUAGUUAACACACAAUCUUAUUAUCAUGGCUUUAUUUCUAAAUGGACUUCACAAAUAUAUACAUGCAGAUCCUUUUAUUCACUUGCCUUUAUACAUCCAUAUAUCUAUAGUUUAAUGUAAAAUGAAAACCAGAUUUUAUGUCGGUUCAAAGGAGAAAUCCUUCUCUCGUGAGAACAUUGAACUCUUUCCAUACCUACAGGUUUAACGUUGUACCAUUUAAGAUUCAUUUUAUACCUUCCUGUAAAGUAGCAGGGUGCAGACAGAUAUCAUCAUAAUGAAGAUAAAAAGAAAAAAGAGAUAUUAUUAUUUUUAAUAAAUAUUUUAUAAACAAAUUAUUAAUAUUGUCAAUCCAUUUCACAAUAAAAUAUAUUAAUAAAAAAAAAUUAAUCUAUCCGUUGCCAAAAAUUAAGAAAUUGUAUUGAAAUUAUAGAAAUGUUUCCUCUGCUUCAAAUUUCUUAUCUUUUAUACACUAAUAGGUACAAGAAGAGGUGAACCUAGGAGGGGGUGUGAAGAAACAAGUCGACAAGCUGAAAAGCAAUCUCCUUGCUAUCCAAUCUGUCCUUGAAGAUGCAGAUAGAAAACAAGUGAAGGAUAAGGCUGUAAGAGACUGGGUAGACAAGCUCAAAAAUGUAUGCUAUGAUAUCGAUGACGUGCUAGAUGAAUGGAGCUCUGCAAUUCUUACAUGGAAAAUGAGGGAUGCUGAAGAAAAUACUCACAGCCUGCAGAAGAUACGGUGUUCCUUCCUGGGAUCUCCUUGCUUUUGUCUCAAUCAAGUGGUUCGACGUCGAGACAUUGCCCUCAAGAUCAAAAGAAGUAUGUGAAAAACUGGACGACAUUGCCAAAGAGAAAUCUAUGUAUGGCUUUGAGUUGUACAGAGCCACUGAUGAACUCCAACGAAUAACAAGUACCUCCCUUGUUGAUGAAUCAAUCGUGAGUGGUCGAGAUAAUGACAGGGAAGCUUUAGUAAGCAAGUUGCUGGGUGAAAGUAGUCAGGAAGCAUGGGACGUGGAUGCCAUCUCUCUAGUAGGGCUAGGCGGAAUUGGAAAAACAACUCUCGCCCAACUAGCUUUUAAUGAUGCUGAUGUUACGGCUCAUUUUGAGAAAAAGAUAUGGGUGUGUGUUUCAGAUCCAUUUGAUGAGGUUAGAAUAGCCAAAGCUAUCCUUGAGCAGCUUGAAGGGAGGGCACCGGAUUUGGUUGAAUUGCAAUCUCUUUUGCAAAGGGUUUCUGAAUCCAUUAAGGGAAAGAGGUUCCUUCUUGUCCUUGAUGAUGUAUGGACAGAAAAUCAUAGACAAUGGGAACAACUGAAACCAUCUCUCACAGGCGGUGCACCAGGAAGCAGAAUUCUAGUGACCACUCGUAAACAUUCUGUGGCAACGAUGAUGGGAACUGACCAUCGGAUCAACAUUGAGAAAUUGUCCGACGAGAUAUGCAGGUCAAUAUUCAAUCAUGUGGCAUUCCAGGAAAGAAGCAAAGAUGAGCGCGAAAGAUUGACAGAUAUCGACGGCAAAAUUGCAAGCAAGUGCAAGGGCUUGCCUCUAGCUGCCAAGGUAUUAGGAGGUCUGAUUCAGUCUAAAAGAACAAGAGAAGAGUGGGAACGUGUUUUAUCUAGCGAACUGUGGGGGCUAGAUGAGGUUGGUAGAGAUCAGGUUGAAAGAGGAAUAUUUCUACCUUUGCUUUUGAGUUACUACGAUUUACCUUCUAUGGUAAGACGAUGUUUCUUGUAUUGUGCCAUGUUUCCAAAAGACUAUGAGAUGCGCAAAUACGAAUUGGUGAAGAUGUGGAUAGCUCAAGGUUACCUCAAGGAGACUUCAGGUGGAGAUAUGGAGGCUGUUGGAGAGCAGUACUUUCAAGUCUUAGCAGCGCGCUCUUUCUUCCAAGAUUUUAAGACGUAUGAUCGAGAAGAUAUUAGAUUCAAGAUGCAUGGUAUAGUGAAUGAUUUUGCCCAAUAUAUGACAAAAAAUGAAUGUCUAACAGUGGAUGUCAAUAACCUUGGAGUAGCAACAGUGGAGACUUCAAUUGAAAGGGUUCGUCAUUUAAGCAUGAUGCUGUCAAACGAGACCUCUUUUCCCGUGUCCAUUCACAAAGCAAAAGGUCUUCGCAGCCUCUUGAUCCACUCUAGAGACCCUUCGCUUGGAGCUGCACUGCCUGAUUUGUUCAAGCAGUUGACAUGCAUUAGGUUAUUGAAUUUGUCAGAGUCUUCAAUCAAAGAAAUACCAAACGAGGUAGGGAAAUUGAUACCUUUGAGACACCUCAAUUUGGCAUCUUGUUAUCAGUUGGAGUCCCUGCCAGAAACCAUGUGUGAUUUAUGCAAUCUGCAAUCCCUAGACGUUACUUGGUGUGAUUCUCUCAAGGAAUUGCCUAAUGCGAUUGGAAAACUUAUCAAAUUGAGGCAUCUCCGGAUUUAUGGUUCAGGAGUGGCCUUCGUACCAAAGGGAAUAGAGAGGAUAACAUGUCUUCGAACAUUAGAUGAGUUUACUGUGUGUGGUGGUUGUGAGAAUGAAAGUAAAGCCGCUAAUCUAAGAGAAUUAAAAAACUUAAAUCACAUUGGAGGGAGUCUUAAGAUAUGGAAUCUACGAGGAGGUAUAAAAGAUGCGAGUGACGCUGCAGAAGCACAACUCAAGAAUAAGAAGCGCCUGCGUUGUUUGCUAUUGGCUUUCGACUACAACCGGCAGAACAGCAUUUUAAUUGAAGCUUUACGGCCUCCGUCUGACUUGGAAAAUCUAACCAUAUCUAGGUACGGAGGGUUGGAUUUGCCAAAUUGGAUGAUGACAUUAACCAGAUUACAGGAGCUUAAACUCUGUUAUUGUGCAAACCUGGAGGUCUUGCCUCCGUUGGGUAGAUUGCCCAACCUUGAAGGCCUGGUAUUGAGGUCGUUGAAGGUGAGAAGGUUGGAUGCUGGAUUUUUAGGUCUAGAAAAAGAUGAGAAUGCCAGUAUUAAUGAAGGAGAAAUUGCAAGGGUCACUGCUUUCCCCAAAUUGAAAGAACUUGAGAUUUGGUAUCUCGAAGAAGUAGAAGAGUGGGAUGGAAUUGAAAGGAGAGUGGGAGAAGAAGAUGCCAACACAACUUCAAUAUCCAUUAUGCCACAACUUCGAGAUUUGAUAAUUGAAAAUUGCCCAUUGUUGAGAGCACUACCUGACUAUGUUUUGGCAGCGCCUCUACAGGAAUUGGACAUAAGUAGAUGCCCCAUUCUAACGAAUCGUUACGGGGAGGAGGAGAUGGGUGAAGAUUGGCAAAAGAUUUCUCACAUCCCAAACAUUUGUUUUGAUGAUUACGGGAGAAAGACAGAACUCUUUAAUUAGAACCUGCAGGAACAGGUAAAUUCUUCAACCAGUGUUAAUUCUUAACGGUAAAAUACCGUUUUUCUGUAAAUGGAUUGAACUCAUUUGUAAUCUAUUCUUGAGUUGGAUUUUAUUUCCUACUUACAUUUAUUCUAUCAAAUGCAGCUGUGACUUUCUUUUUAGCAUUCUCUCUGUUUUUUUUUUUUAAAUAAAAAACACCACAUUGUGUCCCAUAACCAGAAACAACUAAAUCAAAUCAUAAUUGUUGGAUUUGUCAAAAUACAAACAUAAUUCAUGAAAAAUAAACUCAAGAUGCCAUGCUUUGUGAGCUUGAAAAAUAGACUUUCAAUGGAGGCAAUGGAGAAAAAAACUGGAGCUGCUGGAAUUGGUGGAGGCCGCGACGGCACACGGUGGAACAGUGGUGACGCAUGCCGGCGCAUGAAGUUCAUGCGCCACAGCCUUGACAGUGCAUUGGUAAGUUUAAUCAUACAGUCAUUACACAUCCAGAAGUCUUCUGGUAUUUAAUUCAACCUAAUAACAAUGGUGAGAGAGGCAACACCAAAACAGUGGUAGCGAGGGUUUACGCCUCUAGCAAGUAGCAAGAGAUAUAGCUUUGCUGCAAAGAGCAAGAGAAUUAAUUUGGUCUGAUACCUCGAAACAUUGCAUGACCGGUAAGGUAGGUAUAAUUAAUUAGAGAUGUAAGGACUCAGAAAUUUAUUACUGUGAAAAGAAGAAACAUUUACCAUCAUUCUAAUUACAGUUAGCCAUCUUUAGCAAGUAAAAAAAGCCAACCCCGUGUAAAGAUAGUGACUGCAACCUCUGAUGCAAUCUAAAUUUGGUGUAUCUUCAUCCUCAAUCUUUUCUGAAAAAUAUGAAAGUGUAUGAAAUAAAGAUUGUAUGAAUUCAGAGAGAAGAAACAGGUAAUAUCAUCAUGAGCAUCUGGAGUGGCUUCUAGAUGUGUUUUUUGUAAUAAAAGCCUGGAAUCUUCAAGUCACCUCUUCAUCCAUCCACUGCCACUUUGCUUGGCAUCUAUGAAUGAAAUUCCUUUCACGAUGGGGUAUUAACAGUGUUUUUUCAAAAUCUGUUGUUGGUAUGUGCUACCAAUGAUUUUCUAUGGUGAAAGGCAAACAACAGAAUCUCUCAUGACAGCUUUUCUUCUCCUGCAUUGUGUGGAAUCUUUAGCUUCAUCAGAAUGAUAUCAUCUUUAAUAGGGCUGCUCCAAAUCUUCAAAGCUGUUUUUCCUUGAUCUUCCGCAGUUUCUCAUUUUCUUCAGACUCUGCUGGCGAGGAUGUUCAUAACAGCUUUGAUGGCAUUGGUUUUGUAGAAAGGAGGAGCUGAUUUCAGUUGUUUUUAUCCUUUUCCCACACUGUUUUCCUUCCCCUGUUUCAAAACCUCUAAAGCUUGUUUGCUUUUUUUUUUUUUUUUUGUCAGCUAGAACUUCUGGAUGGUAGGCUAUUAUCUUUUUAGCCAUUUUCUUAUAAUACACUCGACUAUUAUAAGAAAAAAAGCAUCUGAAGUGGCUGAAUAUACAAGCUUCGGUUCCAUCUCCAUCAGCAUCAAAUGCACCCGAGCUAUUGGUGAGCAGCGCCAAUGAGAGGGAAAAAUAAAAAAUACCAUCCUGCAUUUACUCCAACCUUCCACCUCAUAUAUUCACAGAACUUUCAAUCUUGCCUUGCAUAGAAACCAACAGUGAACCUUAGGGGAGAGGUGACUCGCAGAAACUUAAAAAGCGGAAUCCACAUGCAGACAGUAACUCGGCCAACUCAGUCGAUUACUCAAUGUAAUUAAUUAUAGCACUCUUUGCUGAUUAUUUCAAAAAGGACCUCCUCUAGCCUUAUUUGAGUCACCAGCUAGCUACAAGUCUUCAAGCUUUGAAAUGACUAAUGGCGUACGGCGUACCACUCUGCCACUGGUAAGGAAAAGAAAUCUCUUUAAAGUCACCAAGGAACUUUUUUUUUUUUUACAACAGUGGAGAUUUUAUUAAAAUUUUUGGCUAAAAAGAGAAUAGCCUAAUAGCCAAAAAAAAAAAAGCAACAAAGAGAAGAUAAAAAAUAAAGAAGACAUAAAAGCACGGUAUCUACAACAGGAAAAAGAAAACAGGGACCAGACAAUUGAUAAAAACUAGAAGUCAACUUCUGUUAUCCCUGAAAAAGCAUCAUUGAAGAUUACAUCAAUACAAGAAAAGAGAAGUUGUUAUCAUGAAAGAUUCUGAAAUUUUCCUUGCAUCAUUUGUAGCACAUAUCAUCAAUAGAAUUUGGGAAAGAAUCACUAAUACCCCACCAAAAUAGGAAUUUCAUUCAUAACUUCCAGGCAAACACACAAUUAAUGAAGAGAUCGCAUGAAGUUUCAAAUCGUCUUUUACAAAACACACAUCUAGCUUGCUGAAGAGAAAAGAAAUCAUGCUGAAACAAGAAAUCACGGAUGAAGACUUUAUAAAAACCGAAAAGGUUAUACACCACUGUAAAGCAAUUGAUCCAAGAGAUGGGAACUGUAUUUUACUGUAUAAAAACCAUUUUACUAUACAACAAAAAUUUUUUAUGGGAUAACAUCAAAAUUUUGUUAUAAAUUAAAAAAUUGAUGAAAUCUUCUAUUUUAGUGAAUAUUAUCAAAAUUUUCAUUAAAUCUUAAAAAGUGAUGAAAUCUUCAGUCUUAAGGGAUUAACGUCAAAGUUUUUAUUAAAAUUCAAGAAAUUACAAAAUCUACUGUCUUUAGGGAUUGAUAUAAAAAAAUUAAUGAAAUUUCCUAUAUUGAGUGAAUGAAAGAUUUCAAAUAUAUAGUAGUAUAUAAAUAAUUUUCUGAACCAAAGAAAAAACAGAAUUUUUAGGAGUGAUUUAAAAUCAUGAACUAGAAUUUAAGUAUUCAAGUUGAGCAUAUUAAAUCUGCAAUGAGGUGCAUAUGGUGUUUUUUCAGUGCAGCGAAGCAUUGACUAAUAAAGACUGACUGAAUUGAAACAGAACGCAACGAGACUUUUGGGUUUGAAACUAAUCCAGUGACGACAGCAAAUAACCAUUUUUUUUUUUUGUAAGGAAAGGCACAUGGUGUGAUUUAUGCAAUCUGCAAUCACGUUACUUGGUGUGAUUCUCUCAAGGAAUUGCCUAAUGCGAUUGGAAAACUUAUCAAAUUGAGGCAUCUCCGGAUUGAGGGUUCAGGUGUGGCCUUCAUACCAAAGGGAAUAGAGAGGAUAACAUGUCUGCGACCAUUGGAUGGGUUUACUGUUUGUGGUGGUGGUGCGAAUGAAAGUAAAGCAGCUAAUCUAAGAGAAUUAAAAAACUUAAAUCGCAUUGGAGAGAGUCUCAAAAUAGAGAAAGAAAGAGAUAUAUAAGAUGUGAGUGACGUCGUGGAUGCACAACUCAAUAAGAAGCGCCUGCUUUGCUUGUUAUUGGAUUUCAAGGAAGUGGAUUCCAUCAUGGAGAAAACAGAGUUGCAAGCGAAUGAAGACUCUUUAAUUGAAGCUUUACGGCCUCCGUCAGUCAUGGAAGAUCUAACCAUAUGGUUUUACGGAGGGAUCGUAUUGCCAAAUUGGAUGACAACAUUAACCAGAUUACAGGAGCUUAAACUCGCUUAUUGUACAAACGUGGAGGUGUUGCCUCCGUUGGGAAGAUUGCCCAACCUUGAAAGCCUGGUAUUGAGCUCGUUGAAGGUGAGAAGGUUGGAUUGUGGAUUUUUAGGUAUUAAUGAAGGAGAAAUUGCAAGGGUCACUGCUUUCCCCAAAUUAAAAAAACAUUGGAUUUGGCAUCUUGAAGAAGUAGAAGAGUGGGAUGGAAUUGAAAGGAGAGUGGGAGAAGAAGAUGCCAACACAACUUCAAUAUCCAUUAUGCCACAACUUCGAGAGUUGAUGAUUCUUCAUUGCUCGUUGUUGAGAGCACUACCAGACUAUGUCUUGGCAGCGCAUCUACAGGAAUUGGACAUAAGCAUUUGCCCCAAUCUAAGGAAACGUUACGGGAAGGAGGAGAUGGGUGAAGAUUGGCAAAAGAUUUCUCACGUCCCACACAUUUAUUUUCAUGAUAUAUAGGUGAGAAAGACAUAACUCUUUAGUCUGUAGGAUCGGCAGGAACAGGUAAAUUCUUCUACCAGUGUUAAUUCUUAAAUUCUUCUACCAGUGUUAAUUCUUAACGCUAAAAGAUUUUACUAUAUUUUAACAAAUCAAUUUCGGCUCUCCAUUUUGUCAUUCUUAACUUUGUUUUUGAUUUACUAGUUCUUGUUUUGUUAACCAAAUCAUUUUACCAUUACAAGUGAUAAUAUUUUUGGAAUCAAAUCGAAGGGCAUCUAUUGGUUAUGACACGUGUGCUUGUGGUCUGUGUUUGACAGCUUGGGCUUAGAAGAUACUGAAGAGCUACUUCAGAGUGGCUUCCGAUUUCGUAACUGUUAACACAACCCCAGAUCCUGUAACUGUCGCUAACAAAACCCUGACCGAGACUAGACUGAAAAGUUCAAUAAUAUAGGGAAUGAAUUGAAAUGUUAGAAACAGCACAGGGACUGAAACAAAAGUCAACCCUCACCACCAAACCCUAAGCACAUAUAAACUAACUAAAUCAGCAGCCUCCUUCCCCUCACACUCUCUUCUCUCUCCCUCUCUGUUCAUCCUAUCAUCAUUGUCUCUCUUUUUUUAAGAAAUAAAAUAGAAGUAUACAGACAAAUGGCAGAGGCACUUUUAUCGCCAAUUCUGGAGCAGUUAACGAAGAUCGUUGCUCAACAGGUAAUUGCCUUUCUACAAUUUGGAAUGAUCCAAUUAACCUUACAUGAAUAAGAAAUAUAAAAAUGAAGUCUUUUUUUCUUCCUCUACCAGAAAAAUAAAAUAAAAUCUCAAAUACUCAGAUCUAGAUUUGGAUUUUAUUAAAGAAAUUUAUUUUUAUUGUUUUAUUAUUUUUCAUAUUUCUGGAAAUAAUCUUUAGAAGGAAAAAGGAGGAGUUGUCAAUCCUCUCAUUAAACCGAACUGCUAAGGGUAAAAUAAUCAAUCAAAUGUUAAAAUAAUUAGUUCACUUUAAAGGAAGAAUAUUUUUCACUUUAAAAGUAUAGUUCACAUAAUCUUAUUAUAAUGGAUUUAUUUCCAAAUAGACUUUACAAAUACCAACAAAUACAGAUCCUUUUAAUCACUAUAUUUCUUUGAUCCACCAAGCUUAUGUUAUAUAGAGGUUUGACGUCGAGCAAUUUUAGAUUCAUUUUCUUCCUUCUUGUAUAGUAGCAGAGUGCAGACAGAUAUCAUCAUGAUGAUGAUAAAAAUAAAUAUUAUUAUCUUUAAUAUAUUGGUUCUUAAUAAAUAUUUUAUAUAUAAAUUAUUAAUAUAGCCUAUCUAUUUCACAGCACGUGUCAACUACUGCGAAAAAAAGAUUAAUAAAACUUAUUUAAUCUAUUAAUUACCAAAAAAUAAAAUAAAAAACUUGUAGUGAAAUCAUAGAAAUGUUUCCUCUGCUUGAACUUUCUGAUCUUUUCUACACUGAUAGGUACAUGAAGAGGUGACCCUAGUAGGGGGUGUGAAGAAACAAGUCGACAAGCUGAAAAGCAAUCUCAUUGUUAUCCAAUCUGUCCUUGAAGACGCAGAAAGAAAACAAGUGAAGGAUAAGGCUGUAAGAGAUUGGGUAGACAAGCUCAAAGAUGUAUGUUAUGAUAUGGAUGAUGUGCUAGAUGAAUGGAGCUCAGCAAUUCUUACAUGGAAAAUGGAGGAAGCUGAAGAAAAUACUCGCAGCCUACAGAAGAUGCGAUGUUCCUUCCUGGGAUCUCCUUGCUUUUGUCUCAAUCAAGUGGUUCGACGUCGAGACAUUGCCCUCAAGAUCAAAGAAGUAUGUGAAAAAGUGGAUGACAUUGCGAAAGCGAGAGCUAUCUAUGGCUUUGAGUUGUACAGAGCCACUGAUGAACUCCAACGAAUAACAAGUACCUCCCUUGUUGAUGAAUCAAUCGUGAGUGGUCGAGAUGAUGAAAGGGAAGCUGUAGUAAGCAAGUUGCUGGGCGAAAGUAUUCAGGAAGCAGGGUACGUGGAGGUCAUCUCUAUAGUAGGGAUGGGCGGGAUUGGAAAAACAACUCUCGCCCAACUAGCUUUUAAUGAUGCUGAGGUUACGGCUCAUUUUAAGAAAAAGAUAUGGGUGUGUGUUUCAGAUCCAUUUGAUGAGGUUAGGAUAGCAAAAGCUAUCCUUGAGGCGCUUCAAAGGGGUGCACCGAAUUUAGUUGAAUUGGAAUCCCUUUUGCAAAGUGUUUCUGAAUCAAUUAAGGGAAAGAAGUUCCUUCUUGUCCUAGAUGAUGUCUGGACAGAAAAUCAUGGACAAUGGGAACCACUGAAACUCUCUCUCAAAAGCGGUGCACCAGGAAGCAGAAUUCUAGUGACCACUCGUAAACAUUCUGUGGCAACCAUGAUGGGAACCGACCACAUGAUCAACCUUGAGAGACUGUCUGAUGAGUUAUGCAGGUCAAUAUUCAAUCAGGUGGCAUUCCAUAAAAGAAGCAAAGAUGAGUGCGAAAGAUUGACAGAAAUCGGCGAUAAAAUUGCAAACAAGUGCAAGGGCUUGCCUCUAGCUGCCAAGGUAUUAGGAGGUCUAAUGCAGUCUAAAAGAACCCGAGAAGAGUGGGAACAAGUUUUAUCUAGCGAAUUGUGGGAGCUAGAACAUGUUGAAAGAGGAAUAUUUCCACCUUUGCUUUUGAGUUACUACGAUUUACCUUCUGUGGUAAGACGAUGUUUCUUGUAUUGUGCUAUGUUUCCAAAAGACUACGAGAUGGUCAAGGAUGAAUUGGUGAAGAUGUGGAUGGCUCAAGGUUACCUUAAGGAGACUCCAAGUAGAGAUAUGGAGCUUGUUGGAGAAGAGUACUUUCAAGUCUUAGCAGC